AAGCAGUGGGUUCGAUUGGGCCAAUGACAUCCAUACCCCAAGCGGAGAAAGGCUAGGGCAAACUUGUUACGUUGAGUUCAUUGGGUGGUACUCGUAUCAUGUCAGCAUGUAUCUGGCAUUGGUGACACUUCUGAACAUACUUGAUGCAGUCUGUUUCCAUAGUCAUCCAGAAAUAGCAUGCUCUUAAUAUCUUCUUGGCUAAGGUGAAACCAUUCAUGUGCGGUCCGCAAAUUCCGACAUGUAUUUCCUCGAGCAAUCUGUAUGCCUCUUUGGUAUCGACACACCGUAGUAAGCCCAGGUCAGGAGUCCUUCUAUAUAGAAUUCCCCCGCUUUGAAAGAAAUGGUUGGCUAAUCUUCGAAGCGUGCGCUUCUGAGUAUGGGUUACAGUCUCUGGGUAUUCUCUCUUUUUCAGGUACUUCUUGAUGUCGCGGAACCAUGGAUUUCCGUCAAUCUCUUCUUCAACAUGAGCACAAUAAGUGAGUUGUUUAUAAAUCCCUAUUGGGAUAGGAUCAAUGAAAUUCUUGUCUGGGUGCUGUAUCAUGGAAGACAAAGUAGCUAACGCAUAUGCAAACUCAUUCUGAGUCAUCGGAACAUGCUUGAAUUCUAUCUUUGUGAACCUCUUGAUCAGCUCUUGCACACAAUGCAAAUAUGGCAUUAUUUUGGUGUUCUUCAUAGCCUAUUCCCCUAGAACCUGGUACACCAAAAGAUCUGAAUCUCCGAUUACCAGCAGCUCCUGAACAUUCAUGUCAAUGGCCAACCUGAACCCCAAUAUGCAAGCCUCAUAUUCUGCUACAUUGUUGGUGCAUGAAAACCUGAGUUUUGCGGAUACCAGAUAGUGUUGGCGGGUUUCUGAUACUAAGAAAGUCCCGAUACCUACUCCUUUGAAGUUUGUUGCUCCGUCGAAGAACAUUCUUCUCCUACAAAUGAUACCUCCUAAUCGGGAAAAUACGUUUUUAAUGGUUCGUAUUCUCCGUCUAUGGGAUUUUAUGCCAGUUGAUCUGCCAAUGCUUUCCCUUUGACUGCCUUCUGAGUUACAAGGACGAUGUCAAACUCGCUCAACAGUAUUUUCCACUUUGCUAACUUACCCGUAGGCAUGGGUUUCUGAAAGAUGUAUUUUAGAGGAUCCAUCCUUGAUAUGAGAUAUGUAGUGUAUGCACAGAAAUAAUGUCUCAAUUUUUGAGCUAUCCACGUCAGAGCAUAGCAGGUGCAUUCCAGCAAAGAAUACCGGGUUUCGUAAGGCGUGAAUUUCUUACUCAGAUAAUAUAUCGCCUGCUCAUUUCUUCCAGUUUCAUCAUGUUGUCCCAAAAGACAACCAAAAGCUCCAUCCAAUACGGACAAAUAAAGCAGCAGAGGCCUUCCUAGUUCUGGUGGGACCAGAACAGGUGGUUUAGAUAAAUACUCCUUGAUUUUGUCGAAGGCUUUCUGACAUUCUUCAGUCCAACUUGUUGCAGCAUCUUUCCUCAACAUCCUGAAGAUUGGCUCACAUAUCACAGUUGAUUGUGCUAUGAAGCGGCUGAUGUAAUUGAGACGCCCUAAAAAUCUCAUCACAUCUUUCUUAUUCUUCGAAGGUGGUAGGUCUUGGAUAGCUUUGACCUUUGAUGGGUCCAACUCAAUCCCUCGGCGACUAACGAUGAAUCCUAACAAUUUUCCUGCAGGCACUUCGAAGGCACAUUUUGGAGGAUUCAACUUCAAAUUUUAUUUUCGAAGCCGGUCGAAAAACUUCUUCAAGUCUACUAUAUGAUCCGAACUCCUUGUAGAUUUGAUGAUAAUGUCAUCCACGUACACCUCUAUUUCCUUGUGUAUCAUGUCAUGGAAGAUGGUUGUCAUGGCUCUCAUGUAGGUGGCUCCAGCAUUCUUCAAACCAAACGGCAUCAUUUUGUAAUAGUAUAUCCCCCACGGUGUGAUGAAGGCCGUCUUUUCGGCUUCCUCUUCAUCCAUCUAGAUCUGAUGGUAUCCUACGAAACAAUCCACAAAGGAUUGGAGUUCAUGCUUGGUACAGUUGUCAAUCAGUAUGUGUAUAUUGGGCAACGAGAAAUCAUCUUUGGGACUUGCUCUAUUUAGAUAUCGGUAAUCAACACAUACUCUAACUUUCACGUCUUUCUUCGUAACUGGUACAAUGUUGGCCAACCAAGUCGGGUAUUCGACCACUCUAAGAACCUUGGCUUUGAUUUGCUUGGUGACCUCCUCUUUUAUCUUCAAACUCAUAUCUGGCUUGAACUUUCUGAGCUUCUGCUUUACCGGUGGACACACGGGAUUAGUGGGUAGCUUGUGAGCCACUACAUAUGUGCUCAAACCAGUCAUAUCGUCGUAGGACCAUGCAAAGAUAUCUUCAAAUUCUUUUAGGAAUCUGAUGUACUUUUCCUUCUCUGAUUGUUAUAGAUGAAUGCUUAUACGUAUUUCCUUGACCAUUUCGGAAUCCCCUAAGUUAGCAGUCUCAGUUUCCUCCAAAUUAGACUUUGGUUUGUUUUCAAAGUUUUCCACCUCUAUGAUGAUUUCCUCAGGUAUUAUAUCAUCUUUUAGAUCCUCCAAAUCACUAUCCUUAUGUCGCAUUAUCUCAUUACAUGUCACAGUUGUAGGUUCAUCGGGAUAAGUAACAAUAAUGCUGAAAACGAAAAUGUAAAGAAUAAUAAUAAAUACAAAAAGCAGUAAUGCAUUAAUAAAAUGUUAAAACAUCAACAAGUACGACUUAAUGACUCGAGCAAUUAUUUCUAAACAAAAUACUGAAAAAUAUCUCAAAUGCUCAAAACUAUUUUUUAAAAGUAAUUCAUGCUAAUUUUCCAAGCUACCCAGGAACUCGACGGGCCCGGGGUGGUGCAACAAUCUAGUUCUUGAGAAAAACUCCUUUCUCCACGGUAUGAAUAGUAAGGUCUUCCUCCUCCUCCUCCUCAACUAUUGCACUGCAGUCCAUAUCCUCUUCGUCUAGAAAUAACUUCCUCAUGCCCGCUAAAACUUCAUCUUCCUCGGAUCCCCACAUCAUGUCAGCUUGAUGGAAUGUCUGGUGUAGAGAUAGUACCGGUUGUUCCAGUGGAUAAUAAGGACCAUGCCAUGGUGGUGAGAAAUCCUGGUACUCCUGCUAUAUGUAUUCAUAUCCGAGUCCAAAAGUCGUGCCAUGACGCUGUGGUUGUACGAGUUUGGUGAUCCCUUGGAGAUUUUUGCUGAGACCCUUGCCGGGUUCAUACCUGUCCAUAGCAGUAUGCUUUCUAUCUUGUUGCCCCACCAUCGGUCCUUUUCAAUUACGUUGACUCACUCAAUGCGAUGGUAUGUUUCUCCACCCAGCUUCUUUCUAUUUUCGAUGAUUGGAACGAUCUGAUUAGUGUAGAUGGGGUUACUUCCAUCUCUAUGAAUGAUCACCUCUAGAUGAUUCCACUCAAAUUUCACAGCCUGAUGCAGGGUUGAAGCCACUGCACCAGCAGCAUGUAUCCAUGGUUGUCCCAAUAAUAGGUUUUAAGUAGCAGAUAUAUCCAACACCUAAAACUCGACAUCAAACCAAGUCGGGCCCAUCUAUAGACUGAGGUUGAUCUCUCCAAUGGUAGCUCUCUAAGAUCCAUCAAAUGCUUUCACAUUCAUGCUUCCCAUCUGUAUCUCAUGCAGGCCUUUACCUAAUCUCUUCAGAGUAGUUAGUGGGCAUAUGUUGAGACUUGAACCCCCAUCUAUCAGGACCCUGGCGAUGAACUUAUCCUCAAAUUGCAUUGUGAUGUGUAGUGCCCUAUUGUGACUCAAUCCUUCUGGUGGUAAUUCAUCUUCAUGAAAGGUGAUUCUGUGACUCUCCAAUACCUGUCCGACCAUGUUAGCCAUCUCCCCACUAGUGAUGUUGGUGGGUACAUAAGCUUCACUCAACACCUUCAUCAAAGCAUUCCUCUAUGUGUCUGAGUUUUGCAACAGUGACAAGAUGGAUAUCUGAGCGGGAGUUUUGUUCAAAUGGUCAACAACAGAGUACUCUCUUGCUUGCACCUUCCUCCAAAGAUCAUCAUUGCCAGUCUUGACAAUAGGCGGCUUAGAUGCAGCUUCCUUGCUUGUUCCUCCCAGGUUCUCAGGUGUGUAAACUCGGCCAGUUCUAGUCAUACCUUGUGUUGCCCCUGUUUCCUCUAUUUUUGCUUUUCCUUUUCUCCUUGCUUCUGCAACACAGUCCCAUGGGAUGGCAUCAAACUGGUAGGAUGGCGUGGGAGCUACUAUCACGGUGAAUGGUGUAGAUACCUCAACUUUAAAUGGCACCUGGGUUUGGACCACAACCGGCGUGAGGGUGACUGGAGACGUUUUAGGAGCAUAUCCCUCUCGAAUAAGUCCUAUUGACCCCUUCGAGUCCCAUUCUUCAUCUGUCUCUAUCACAUUCACUUCCUCACCUCUAUGAUCUGGGAGAGGAUUAUUACAAACAUUUGGUGCAGCUUCCUUUGCCUAUAUGACCUUAGUGUCGAUCAAUGUCUGAAUUUUAUCUUUUAAUGUGCGGCACUCAUCAAUGGUAUGACCCUUCAUGCCUGAAUGAUAGGCACAUGUCUUGUUGGGGUUGAUCCACUAGGAAGAAUUAUCCAUAGCAACGGCAGGAAUGGGAGUGACAUAACGAGCAGCCUUCAGCCUCUCGUACAGUUGGUCUAUGUGUUUGGCAAUUGGGGUGUAUUGUCUAGGUGGUCUUUGGUCAAAAUUUGGUCGUGGUUUUUGGUAGUUUUGGCGGGCGGGUGGUGGAGAGUGGUAAUAUGCGGGUUGAGUAUUAUAGGCAUGAUAGGUGGUAGCAAGUUGUUUGUAUCUGGGGGGUGAUGGUUAGUAUGUGGGUGGAGGUGUUUGGUAUGUGAGAGGAUACUUGGGACCCUGGGCUACCAUUACGGCACCUACUUCUUUCUUUUUUGAAAUACCUCCCGAUUGCAAAGCUUUGUCCGUGGCCUGCAGCGCCUCAAAGUUGGUUACCAUCCCACUCUUAAUCACUUCUUCUAUUCUUUCUCCUAGCUUGAUGAUGUCGGAGAAUUUGUGAUUUUCAAUAACCAUUAACCUUUCAUAAUACUUCCGGUCUUGAGCUCUGACGAAGAACUUAUUCAUUUGUUCUUAUUCAAGUGCUGGCCUUACUUUCGCGGCUUCUGAUCUCCAACGAGUAGCAUACUCGCGGAAAGUUUCUGUUGGCUUCUUCUUGAGGUUUUAAAUGUAGAAAAUGUCUGGCACAUUUUCCGUGUUGAAUCUGAAUCUGUCCAUGAAGUCUAAUGCCAUGCUUACCCAACUAACCCACUUCUUCGGGUCUUGACUGAUGUACCAAGACAAAGCAUCUCCUAUGAGGCUUCACAUGAACAACUUCAUACAGAUUUGUUCAUUCUUGCCCACUCCUAUAAGUUUGUCACAAUAUGUUCUCAGAUGCACUUUCGAAUCACCAGUCCCAUCGAACAUUUCGAACUUGGGAGGUUUGUAACCCUCCGGCAGUUCCACAUCCGGCUGAAUACAUAGGUCCUCAUAGUUUAGACCUUCAACGCCUUUACUGACUUCAACAUUUUGAACUCUACCAGUGAGCUUCUUGAGUUCCUCUGCCAUGUUCUUAAUGAGCAGGUCUUUUUCGAUUGAUUUGGGUAUGUAUAGGGCUUGUUGCAGAGUAUGGGGUAAAGUUUACACAUAUAUCAGAUUACUUUGGUGGACUCCGGGAACUUGGGUACAAGGGUGGUCAUUAGUUGAGUUUUGGGGAUCAGGAAAAGGUUGUGGUGCAUUAUGGAGAGUGUGAUAAGUAGUGGUUUGUGGGUAUUGAGCUGGAUGAUGAAGGUGUUGUUAAGGAGUUGGUACUGGUGGAGGAUUAAGGUUCUGAAGAGGUGUGGGAUACUGGUGUGGUGCGGGAGGAUUUGGUGGUGGGUUUUGGUUUUGUAUGUUUUCUGGUGGUGUCUAGUUCUGGGUAGUCAGAUUUUGCUGGUAAAUGUCGGGGACAUUGAGAGUGAGGGAAAAGGUUUGCCAAGUUUCAGACCUGCUCAAGUUCGCCUUGUAGUUCCAAGAUUUUCUGUUCCAGAUGUAAGACCAAUUCAUUCUGCGCCGGAGUACUUCGACCAUCCGAGGUUUCAACAUUUUCUGCCACGGUAGCAUUGUCUUUUCUGAUACCACUCAAAUCAUCCAUCUUCCCUUUUCCUUUGCCUUUAGGAUCGCUUGGUGAAGGAGGAGAUGGAGGACCUCUGGAUCUAGUGUGAUAUGUUGACGAUUCCAGUAUGCACGAACCAACCUUGGAGAAUGGGAAUAAUCAAAAGAAAAGGAAAACAAAACAAAAGGUAGCCAAGUUAGUAAGAAAUAUUGAAAGAAUACUUGCGGUAUUAAAACAUGUUUUGCAAAGUCAUGCAAUAAUUCGCAUCCUAAUUUGGGGGGAACUCAUUAUGCCUGAGGUAGGUCUAAGUGACACAUAGACUUAGAGAAAAUUGAUGCCAAUAAUUGCGUCAUUUCAUUAAUGCGAAAAAUGAGCCAAACCUUUACUAAAUCAACAAUAAUAAUAAAGUUACUAAUGGCAUUUAGCCUUAUUACAAUCGAAAUCUAAAGCUAAGCUAGAAAGUAGUAAAAACUAUCAUUUCCUAGUCUACUUGGUCCCUGAAGGACCUUCCCCGUGCUUGGCUCUUUUGACUCCAUCAAUCAGGUUCCCCAGAUCGCGCAUAUCCAACAGUAAGUAAGCCUUUGCUAGAUGCCCUCCUUCGCUGCCAUCCGUGCUUUGAAAAUCUGAGAGUCUCUUCCUCAUCUUUCCUUCAAGUUCCAUCAAUCCUUGUUCCAAGUAUUCCAACCUCUCUGUUGACAUAGUGGCAAUUUCUUUCCAUUCUUUUAUUGCCUCCAUAUUCACUUUGUGUUGUUCCAAAUGAUUAGCUUCAGACUCGAAAACCCUUUUGCGUAGCCUUCUAUACUUAACCUAUGCCUCAGCAGCAUCAUCAAUGAUCCUAUAUUUUAGAUUGACUCCUGGCUUAACGUCUCCCGUUAUAUCGUCCACCAACCACGAUGGAUAGAAAUACACAUGACCGGCACGAUACCUGUCUGGCUCAAUGGUUUCUUUUUCCACAAUGAUCUUCUGGUUCCACAUAUGUUGCGCCUCGAACUUGAAUGGAAUGACGUCCCCUUUGAAAUUUGCCUUGUAUCGGACCAUGUUGGAAACCCGAGGUAUGAACUGUUUUCUUCCCGCUUGUCUCAUUACCUUUAUAGGAGCAUAAGGAUAGAUGCCUCGCAACCCUAUUAGUACCAGAUGAGUAGUCUUUCUUGACCUGAUGAUGAACUCACUGCUAGGAAACCACUCGAACAUCCAAAGUACUUGCUCGUCUGUCAGAUUGCUGAAGAAACGCACCUAACUUACAGCAUUUCUAGGUUGUGCAAACCUGUCUGGGAUAAAUGUCAUUUUCUUUGGGUGAUGGUAAGCUAUGUGGUCAUUCAACGGCCGUCGCACAAGCUCUUGACGAUAUUCUCCUCUCUGAAAGUGUUCCAAUAGCCAAACUUGUAGUAACAGAUUACAACCUUCGAAGUGUCCAAAUCCCUGCUUGCAUCGAUCUAGAGAGCGGUAUAUUUCAGCUAAAAUCAUAGGGAUGAUGGUAUAAGUUUGUCCUUCGAUGCCUUCCAUCGAAGUCCUAGCGACCAUGGCUAAGCGAGUAUGGAUCCUUCCCCCUUUCAUUGGAAAUAUCAAUAACCCCCAAGAAGCAGACGAUGAACACAUAAACCCGGCGGUGUGUCCAACCCAAGGAAGUAAUGGCAAGUUCAUCAUGAUGAAGACAAUAUGACUUUCUAUGCCCAUACCAUUCGUAAAGAAAUUUGAAAGGGAUGUAUGACUUCUUUAAAUAGAGCAGCUCGUCAUUUUUCUUGAAACCCAGCAUUUUUAGAAAACCGCGGGGGGUGCGAUUCUCUGGCACUGGUAAUCCUGGACUAUCCCAUGGCAACUUAGCAAAACCUCCUAUUUUUUCCAGGAGAGGAGUCAUUUCUAUGUCGCCAAAUCGAAAGACGGCCCUUUUCUCAUCCUAGAACAUGGUAGUGGCCUCAAUCAAUGACCUAUUUGGCUGAUAGUUUAUCAAGGAUGGCAGGUUACCCAAUACUCUUGUCACAUGGUUCUUGUCGCAAGGUGCAAGGUCUUUCCACCAGUCGAGUAGCGAGGGUGGGAUGUUUUGGACCAUACCGAACCUGGGGACUACGUGCCUCAUUUUCUGCAAACAAACAAAAGUUAGCCCUUUUCCCCCGGUAUAUUUGACUAUUGACGUAAUAAUGAUCAACAUAUUGGCUCAUUUUCUCCAAGAAAUGCACAUAAUAUGAUAGUGUCCAUUGGGAUUAUGGAAAUCCCGUCGGACUUUGGACAAGGUUUAUCUUCGCGGGUUGUUACGUUAAUAACGCUCCAAUCCGUGCUAGGUUUAGCAUGAUGCAUGUACAUUUUAAGUUGGAGUAGGGUUUCUAGAAUGGUCUAGACUGGUACUGCCAAGUGGACAACUUGAGAGGGAAAGGCACGGGACAGUCGAUUGCACCGCUGAUCGAUAGUCUAGCGCAAGUAAGCCUUUUCGAUUUUAAAAGGGUAGUUUUGGAAGAGCGCGGACACUCUUCAAGCGCCGCUAUGUUGAUAAUUGGCACGAGUGGAGUAUGACGUGGAGCAUGCUUUAUGCAGAAAUAAUAACGUUGCCAAGUAUUUGCAUGAUAAAAUAUGUAAAAGCAGUAAAUAAGAUAGCAAAGGUAAUCAUGGAAAGAACAGAAAAGAAAGACAAAAGGAAGAAGUCAGUUUAGUUCGUAGAAUAUAUGCAAGAAUGUAAUAAAGUAAGUAAGGAAGUAGGCAUGAUAUAGCAAUUUUGAUAAGAUAAAAGAGCGGUCAUAGCAAGUAAAGUUGAAUAGGGGGUAGGGAUGUGCAUGUCAUAGCAGAUUUAAACAAAUAAAGGUGAGUGGGGGAAGGGAUGUGCAUGUCGUAGCGGAUUUAAACAAAUAAAGGUGAGUGGGGGAAGGGAUGUGCAUGUAACAAAGAAAGUAAUCCACAUAAGCCAAGCUCAUUAUGGUAAGAGCCUAAGUGUAAAUCCCCAGCAGAGUCGCCAUGCUGUCGCACCUUGUUUUCUCGCGAGAGCGGGUUUCGAUGUGUGACAACUCUUUUAAAUGGGUAUUAAAAGAGAAGAGUCGUCACCUAACGAUUUUAAGGUCUGUUAGGGCACCUAUUUGCAAAUAACUCUAUUUUAACUAGUCAACGCCACCAAAGAUGGGGUAAAGGAUCAAAUUACCUCAAAGAGAAGGUGUUAGGCACUCUUCGAGGUCCACAACUAUGGGUCCCGACCGAACUUAAAACUAUGUGGAUUAGGCUAGGUGAUCAAAUAAACAAAGAAAUAUAAAAAGUCAAAGAUUUUAUUAUAACACAAAGGGAAUUGGUACUAAUCUUUAAUGAUUAUAAGGAUACUACAACAUUGGUCUAUGUUAAAUGACUAAGCAUAUAAAAGAAAGGGGGUCCUAAGUUUUUUAGCCUGAAGGAUCACCCCGUGUNNNNNNNNNNNNNNNNNNNNNNNNNAUAGACUAUCAUCUCUUGCUACCCAAUUACUAUGUUGAAGUUAUUUACCUAAAGCAUUCUAAUUCAAUUCCAAGUCGCAUCCUAUGCGUGCACUACCCGUCCCAUACCUAUGGUCCAGGAGGCUUUGGACCUCUAUUUGGGUGGUUCUAGACUUACUUAGGCUGCUCAAAAAUGAUAAAACUAAUCGAGCAUUCAAAAACAAAGAGGACUGCACAUAAUAGCAAAGAGUGGCUCAUGUUAGCCUCCACACAUAAACGAGAAGCACGCAGACUGAUUUUCAGAUUAAGCAAUAGAACGUUUUGAACUUGAGACUCAGAAUCUUUUGGUCCUAUAGGCAUGAUCUCUAUAUGAUUCCAAUAUCAAACAGGCAAUGCUGUAUUUUAGACUAAUGUACAGAUUAAAUCAUUAUAAGUCCUAUAGACAUGGUUUCUAAGUGAUUCUGAUUUUAGCAAUAUACAUGUAACGGAUUUGCAGAUUACAAAAACCUAUAGGCAUGAUUUCUAGAUUAUUCGCAAAAGGCAGUGAAACUACUCCAGAACGAUGAACUACCAACGCUGAUUUUGUAGACAAGUUCGUUAGGAAGGUGACAGUGUCCUAGAAGCAUGAUAUCUAAUAGUCGGCGAUUGACAUUGAUUUUAUAUAGUUUUAUCCCUAUAGGCAUGCUAUCUAGAUGAGCAAUACAAAUGAUAUUGGCAACUGAUUAUUAAACCCAUAGGCAUGAGCAGUACAGUGAUAAUUGAGGCAACAGAUAGAUUAAUCAUUUGAAGUCCUAUAGGCAUGGCACCUAGGUAAGUAGAAUAUUGCAUUGCUACGCCCUAUAGUCAUGUUAUUUAAGAAAACACGGUAGUGGAGACUAGUACAGCAGAUACUUGAAAUAGCAUGCGUUGGCCAGUUAAGUGAUGUGUGUGUGUGUGUGACUCCCAUAGGCAGAGGCUUUCUACUCAUGAAGUUAAACAUGUGAAGCACAUCGCGAAUAAAUCACAUAGAACCUAUAUGCAUGCUUUCUACCCAUUUAUGUGAGAAUUAGAGUACCCUACCACUCUUUUACUAAUCUCCCCAUCUAUUUUUGCUCAGAAAUUAUUACAGACCCCAAAAUAAUGAAUACAAGUGCGAAUAUUAUAUAUUAAAAGGCUGCAGGCCCAAUACACAGAACAGGCCCAAAAGAAUAUAACCCAGUGACACCUGGGCCUUCAGUAAGCUUCUCCUUUCACACUAACAGUGAACCCAGGACCCAACAUGUUUCAGAGUGAGAAUGUAUCAGCUACACACCCAGGGCCAUACACAAACUCAUACCAAGCUUAAAAGGGGAAACCAUACAUGAUAACCAAUUGACAGUCCUAAAGCCUAUUAACAGUGGUCAUAAUUCUUAGAAGCUAAGGGAACAAGAUUGGUUAAACAAGAGGGCUUGAGCAUACCAACUGGGUAGACAACUUUGGCAUAGCAAGUUUGACAUAGAAGAACUAACACCAUAUUGAACAAUUAUUCAACAAAGGGAGGGUAUAGCAUACUGAGCAUAGUUACACAUUAAGAAGGCUGAAGAGGCAAGUCUGUAGAGUUGACGGGACAAACACACACAUAUACUAAUUUCUCAGAAAUCAACUUAGCACAAGACAUUAACCAAAAUGUCAGAAAAAGAUUUUAAAGAGGCGAGCCUUAUUUAAAACAAUCACAGUUAGAGGGAUAUGCAAUUUCACAUGAAGAUGACCAUAAGCAGCAUAGCAACAAACCAAUGACAUGGUUUACCAUAAACCUCAUCAGUGUCCUCACCCGUGAGCACUUAAAAGGGAAUGAGACAAGCAAGCAUAACUAUUCGUACCAAUUACCUAGGCGGCAGAGAAACUAACAUAGCAAUUUGCCCUAGAAGCCAUUCUAAACCAAACAUGCAACAGAACUUAAAUGGAAACAUGCUUUAGAUAAUUGAUAUAGUCUCAGAGAUCUAUCAUAUUGGGCAAGAAGAACUCAGCAAGGUCUAGAAUACAAACACAGAAAUACAGGACAAAGUAGAGAACUACAUUAGUCUAGAAACACCUAAUAAAGUUAGAAUCCAUUCCAAUAAUGAAAGCAUCUUACAUGUGCUGAAACCUACUGAAUUCAAUUAAUAAAGAACAUGGAAUUGCAUGGGAUUAUAAGAUAAUAUCAUAGCAGUACAAUAUCAGGGAUCCAUGAAUAACAUGGAAACCGAGUCAUGCUUAUAGAAUUUAAACAACAUCAACACAUAGAAAACAUACGUCAUAGAUAAAUAGAAAGGAAAAUAGUUAACAUUGCAAGAGUUAAGGACACUAGCCAGUAGCAAAGUUAAACGAACACAAGAAUGAGGAGUUAGAAUAAUGGUAGCAAAAGAACCCCAAAUCCCCGAUGCUUCAGAGUUCACAAGAGCCUCGAGAAGGGCUCCGAGCAGUGCUUGCACCGGAGGAGGUUGUUUUAAAAAUAUUAUAGCCUUGGCUUUCAGCCGGCCAAGGAUUGAACGAUUACAGAAAAUAUUCAAGUAUCUUAGAAGAAGUGAACGAGUGAGAGAAGAGUGUAGCGAAUGUACUAGUAGUGAAAAUUAGGUCCCUCCUCGAGGGGAAAUUGGGGAGGGGUUUAUAUAGUGUUCAAAUGUAGCGGACGAAUAUGGAAAAUCAUCAGUCAAACAUAAGAAAGGAAAGAAUAUAUCACAUGCAAUCAAAAUCAGUAAGGAAAAAGCAAAAUCUCAAACCCUAGUUUGGUCCAACGGUCUUGAAUUGAACCAAUAAUGCAAGAAUUGUUCAUUGUAGAGUAUAUAUAGACGAAAAAUCAUCCAGAUCCUCAUAAAAUCGGAAUCAAUCAGGCAUGUUCUUGAAAGGUAGUUCUUGCCAAAAAUAGGGCAAGAAUUAAGUAACACCACAGACACGCACAUAAUAGUAAAGUAUCACAAAAUAGGUAAGUAGAUCAUGGAUUGAUUCCAUGUUUAGGUUGGAAUCAGAGAGGAUUAAGGGUAUGGCGGCUAGGGUUUCUCAGAGACGAGUGGAGUGGAGAGGUUUUAGCGGCGGCUAUUAGGUGGAAAAUGAGGAUUAGGGUUUAGGUUGGGUUAAUUAAAAGGGGGAAUGAACGAGGGCCGUUGAUCUUGAGAGAUCAACGGCCAGGAUAAAAAAUUGAACGGGUGGUCGUUUGAAGUGGGUUGUGACCGGGCUUUAGUAAAGGAUCAUUUGGCUUGGGCUGGGGUUGUUGGGCUGAGGAUUUGGGCCAAAUUUUAUCCAAAAUUGGCUUAAAGUUGGGCCAUAGUUUAAAUACACAAAAUUUAUAAACAAAAUAAUUUAUAAAAUUAAUUAAUAAAUAGUAAAAAUAUUACUUAUGCAUUAAAAUGAUUGGAAAUAAUAAUUUAGCAUUAUAAAAUACUAUUUUGGCACAAAUAAUGUAAUAAAAACGUAAUUAUGCAUGAACAUAGGCUAUUAUUGCAAAAAUUACAUGAAUAACUAAAAUAUAGAUGUAAUUAUAUAAAAUAAAGUAAAACAUAAUUAAACACAUACGUGGAUAUAAAAUGAUAAAUUUGGAUGAUUAAGUCAUCAUAGAUAAUUUAAAGGGAUAAUAUUUAAGUAAUUUAAAUGCAAAAAAUUAAUUUUAAAACUCUAAAAAUUGCAGAACAUUAUGGAAAGUACUUGUAUAAACCUUGUAAAUCAAAUAAUGAUGCAAAAUAGACAUUUUGAAAAUAUAUAUACUAUUUGAAAAAAUAUGAGGGCAAAAUUGGGUAUCAACAGUCCUCACUAUCUGUGAGAGAAUAGAAAGAUAAAGACUUAGAUUUCGAAAUCAACAAAUUCACACGAAAAGGAAUCAAAGAAGUGGAAUUUCCUAACAGUUAUGUAUUCUCUCAAGAAAAGUAUAAACGUCUCCAUACAAAUCCGCAAGACUCUACUAAACUUGCUUAUGACUCGUAACACCUAUGAACCUAGAGCUCUAAUAUUAACUUGUCACGACCCCGAUUUCCCUACCUUAGGAUAUCGUGAUGCACCUAGUCUCUAAGACUAGGUAAGACUAACAUUCAUUGAUAGCUUUAAAAAAAUAACAAACUAAGAUAAUAAAAUAAACCGAUGAAGCGCAUAAUAAGUUCAAAAUGGAACAUCAGUAACAAAAUUCCCAAAACAGGUAGAACUGAGUCAUAAGCUCUACAUAACGGAUUUUAAGGCAGUAUAGGCAACAAGAAGUGAACACAUGAUGAGAACAAGUAAUCAAAUAAGGACAAAUACAAGUAAGACAAUGAAGAAACAACAAGAACUAAUCAGCCAACAAGCCUUUUUAACAUAGAAAGUACAACAAGAAUCAUAAUCGAGGUACCACACCGCAUAACCACAUUUCACAAAUAACAAUCACAAUCUUCCUUAUAUCACCCGCGUGAGCAUUUCAUUUAUUUAAAAAUAUUUUUUCCGAAAUAGCUACACGCGUUUUAGCCGCCUUAUCUCACCGUGUGGCUUCAAGUAAUUCCCUUACUAGCAACACGCGUAUAAAUCCCACCUUAUCUCACUGCAGGUGUAUAGACCCCUAUCCUUAUACCACCACAUGCGUAUCAAUAUCACAACACAAUAAUCAACUCGCACCACAUGUACCUAUAUGCCAUAACACUUGCCAAAAUUAACAAUACCAAUGUUACCACAACAUAUAGCCCAUGGCUCAACCACAAUAUGUACAAGAAUCUCAAUAAUAACAAAAUGAAUGAGAAAUACUCAACAAGAAAAAGUAUCUUAACAAUCAACAACUUCAACCUCAAUGUGAUAAUAGCUUUCACAACUUCAACAUCAAUAACCAACAAGAAGAUAUUCCUACCAAAUGACAACUUCAAAUAAGAGUAAUUCAACAAUAAAAGAAGUAACAAGGCAAUAAGAGACGUAACAACAUCAACUAAAGUAUAUAAGAGAAAAUAUAACAAUAAAAGAUAGAACAUAUGCUAACAACGUCAAUUAAAGCAUGUGAGAGUAAAUUUAACAAUGAAAGAUAUAACAUGUUAUAACGAUUUCAAUUAAAUGCAUGGAAGAACUCUAAAAGUCUAAACCAGUCAAAAUAUCACAUAUAAGCCCGUGUACACACUUGUCACCUCGUGUACACAUCUUCCACAUAAAUCAAUUAACACAAUUAACCCAAAUCCUAAGGGGUAGUUCUCCCACACAAAGUUAGGCAAGAUACUUACCUCAACUAGGCCAAAUCAACAUCAAAAAUAGCCUUUCCCUUAAAAUCCGCCUAAGCAUGGCUGAAAUCUAACCAAAAAUGACUUAAUAACAUUAAACAAUGCAUGAGAAACCAAUUACGAUAGAUAAAGCUAUGAUCUUUACACAAGUCCCCAAAAGUCAACAAAAGUCAACCAUGGCCCGCUCAGUCAAAACCCGGGUCCAAAGGUAGAUUCUGACUACCCAUAACCUCACAAGUCAGUAUAUGUGUUUUGUUUUCAAAUUCGAGUCCAAUUUGACUCUAAAAUCCUAUGUUUUAAUUUUUCUAAACUUAGACAAAAAUCCCUAAACUUUCUCUUUGAUUCUCAUAAAUUUGAUGUUAAAUCUCAUAUAUAAUCAUGAAAUAUAGUUGAAAAUUGAUUAAAACUAAUUACCCAAUGAUUGUAGAUGAAAAUCCCCUAUCAAAAUCACCUCUUACCGAGUCUAGGGUUCCAAAAUGAGAGAAAAUGAUAUGAAAUCCCACAUUUCAACCGUUUGUUCAGUUGCAGAUGUCGCAAUUGCAACACUGGGUUCAUAAUUGCGAAGGAAACCUUGCAAAUGCGGCACAUGUCAAACCCAGGAGAUGUCGCAAUUGCGACACAGACCUCGCAAAUGCGAAGUCUGUCCUCCUCGUAAAUGCGACCAAAUUAUCGCAAUUGCAAACUAACCCACCUAAGCCUAGACUUCACAAAUGCAAACCAAGUAUCACAAUUGUGAUACCUGAGUCCCCCUAUCAUGUUCGCAAUUGCGAUGUUGUUGCUCGCGAUUGCGAUAACUGCUGCACCAGCACACCAGCAACCUAUAUUUGAGUCCAAACCUUUCUGAAACACGUUUAAAACUCACCCGAGCCCUUGGGGCUCCAAACCAAAUAUCCACACAAGUCUAAAAAUAUCAUACGAACUCACUCGCACGAUCAAAAUACAAAAAGAACAUCUAGAACUAUAAAUCGAACAUCAAAACACAUGAAUUUCAAAGAAAAGUUCAAGAACCUCUAGAAUUGCAACCAAGCAUCCGAAUCCUAUCAAACUAACUCCGAAUGACACCAAAUUUUCAGACAAGUUCCAAAUAGCAAACGGACCUAUUCCAAGUCUCAAAACCAAAUUUCUAACCCAAUAGCCAAAAGUCAACCUACGGUCAAACAUGGAAAAACUUCUAAACCUCAAAUUGCCAACUUUCAAAAAAAUAAGUUAAAUCAACCUAGGGACCUCCGAAUUUGAUUCUGGACAUACGCACAUGUCCAAAAUUACGAUACGAACCUAUCAGAGCCAUCAAAAUAUCGUUCCGGGAUCGUUUUCACAAAAUUCAAACUUUGGUUAACAUUUCUAUCUUAGGCUUCUAAGCCAAUAACCAAAGGGUCCAAAUCAACUCAAAACCUUACAGGAACAAAACUAACCAACCCUGCAAGUCAUAAACCCAUAAAUAUACAUAUGUGAAGCAUCAAAAGGGGAAACGGGACUCAAAAAAAGGGAAAACGGCCGGUCGGGUCGUUACAAUCAUGAGUGUAUUACACUCUCUUUAUAAUUUUGCUGGUUGUCGAAAAAGUUUUUAAUAGGUACAAAUUUUUAGUAGUUAAAGUGUUCAAUAAGAACAAAUUUUAGAUAAUGUAUCAAUAAAAAAAUUCGAAUAAGUUUAGGGGGCUACAUAUGACUUUAUCCAAAACCUAUAAAAUGAAAUAUGAUUGACAAAUGCGAGAAACUAAAGUAAAUAUAAAGGAAAAUAAUUAUUAUUGUUAUUGUGUUACUUGUACGUUAGGAAAAUUGUAUGCAUGUGUGUCUUAGUUUUUUUUUAAGUUAUAAAUUCUUCUAAUACAAUCAAUGCCAUGUUUGAAAAAAAUAUAAAAAGAUUUUCGAACCCAAAAUAAAUAUGUUUUGUUAGUAAAUAAACUGUCACGACUCAAAUCCCUUCUUAGGAGUCGUGAUGGCACCUAGUCUCCAAACUAGGUAAGCCGAUCACUUAACAUUAUUUAGAACAAUAAAAACAUGGUAUAACGAAAAUAGACUUUAACAUAAAUGCAAGAAUAGGAGUAAUACAGGUCAGAGCGGCAAUACACAACAUAACUUCCUAGAACUAGGUAGUACAGAGUCACAAGUUCUAACUGAAUACACGAGAAUAUCCCAAAAAUAAGGUACUAUCUGAAAUACAUAAACAGUAGAAAUGAAAUAAGAGGGUGACUCUGAGGCCUGCGGUCAGAUCAUGCAGGGAUACCUUAAAGUCUCUGGUGUAUGAAAUGCCUCACUUCCGACCAGUCCGGUCUGAAGUACCUGGAUCUGCACAAAAAUAUACAGAAGCAUAGUAUGAGUACACCAUAAUCGGUACCCAGUAAAUAUCAAGACUAACUUUAGUGAAGUAGUGACGAGGUUCAAGUCGUUUGAUAAUCACUAGACAAAUAACCUGUGCAAUGAAUUAUCAAAGUAAGACUGAAAAUUGAAAUUGAAAUAUAACUGAAACUAAUAAUCACCAUCCCUUUUAAAACAUGUAAUAACAACUCAGUGUAGUAAAACUCAUCUUUGGAUCAAGAAACAUCAAAUAAAGGUAAGGCAUGUGAUAAAAUGUCAAAUACAACCAUUAACUCAGGUAAGUGCAAAAACAUAAGCUUCUAGAACAAUUAUGAGAAUGAAAUAUCAAUCCCGUCUCAACACAAUCACAAAAACAAGGAGGCACCCCGAAAUAUCACAUGACAUCAUCAAAAUGCUACCCUUAUUACGCCGAAUGUGCACACAAUAAUGAUUUGCCACAAUUAUUCCGCCACAUGCGCAUAUAGACACCCUUAUUUUGCCACGUGGGCAGCCCGAGAUAAUGCCACCCUUAUUUCGCCCCACACGCACAACAAUAGACACAAUCGCAUGACAAAAAUCUCGUGCUGACACCCCCAACUAAUCCGCUCAACACUUCCAAAAGUGCCAUGGUACCACAAACACAAUAAUGCCAAGUGCCACAAUAUCACAACAAUGCUACCAAAGUUUCAUCAAAGUAUAAGUUUACCACUUUCAACAACCAUGCACGAGGAUAUAACAAAUAAUUAUAGAGGCGGAGAGGUGAAUAAAUAAAGCAUGAAUAUAGCUAAGUCAAUGAAAUGAUCAUGAUCAAGUAGUCAUAAAGUGAUAUCAACAAGUUUCAUAUAAAGUUCAUUAUAACAUUAAGGCUUAUUAAUAGCCUACGGUCUAUUUCGGUCAAAACCACACACAGUGCCCAUAUACACGUCAUCACAUCAUGUAUACGUUACUUUUUACGUCAUGUAAGUCGUCAAAAUAGGGCUAUAACCUAAGGGGUAUUCCCCCACACAAGGCUAGGCAAGAUACUUACCUCAAAUAAGCUAAAUCAAUCGUUAAAAAGACCUUCCCAUGAAAAUCCACCUACCGACGGCUCGAAUAUAGCCAAAAUAACUUAAUAUCAUAAAUAAAAUCCAUAGGAAACGAUCUAGAAUAAUAAAGCUUCGAUCUUUAAUUUAAAUCAAAAAGUCAACCCCAGGCUCGUACCGCGGAACCCGACAAAACUCACAAAUUCUGAAUAGCCAUUCCGAUACGAGUCUAACCAUACCAAUCUGAUCCAAUUUCGACCUUAAAUCGGCCUUCAAAUCAUCAAUUUAUAUUUUAGAAACGUUUUUACUAAAAUUCCCAAUUUCUUCAAUUCAAUUCAUCAAUCAAACACUAAAAUCGAGGUUGUAAUCAUGAAAUAUAAACAAAUUUGAGUCAAAAAUACCUACCCCAAUCCAAAUCAUCAUAAUCCCCUCCAAAAUCGCCAAAAACCGAUCUCUCUAACUCAAAAUAUGAUAAAUGAAAUCAAACCCCUCGUUCAAUAUUUUUCUUCCCAGUGAUUCUUCAUAUGCGGUCACUUAACCACAUGUGAUGUGUCAUUUCUACGGUCAAAUAGCCGCAUUUGCAUUUCUCCCUCAACACCAGGACUUCCGCUUCUGCGACCUAAACCUCGCACCUGCGGAACCACUUCUGCGGUCUACCAUUGCAGGUGCGAUCAAGCUUCUGCAAUAAUCCUUCGCAUCUGCGGAAACUUCUGAGCUCAACCGACACAGCUUUUGCGGUCAAAUAUCCGCACCUGCAAACUCAGCUCCAACCUGCCCAACUACCCUUAUGUGGCUCGAUGUACGCAUUUGCGGGCUUGCACCUGCGGCCAUGCCUUUGCAGGUGCGAAAACACCAAAAAAUCAGAUACCUUCAGCAAUUCAACCAAGUCCAAGAAUUAUCCGAAAAUAAUCAAAAACACGACCGAGGCCCCCGGGCCCUCGUCCAAACAUACCAACGAGUUGCAAUACAUAACACGAACCUACUUGAGACCUCAAAUCACACCAAACAAUAUCAAAAUUAUGAAUCAUACCUCAAUUCAAGCCUAAGUAAAGUAGUGAACCACCAACUUACAAAACUCAUGUCGAACCACAUCAAAUCAACUCGAAAUGACCUCAAAUUUUGCAUGAAAGUCCCAAAUGACCCAACAGGACUAUACAAAUCUAGGAACCACAAACCGAACCCAAUAUUAAUAAAGUCAACUCUCGGUAAAACCUAUCAACUUUUGAAACCUUUAACUUCCAACUUCCGUCAAAAAGCACCAAAACCUUAUUCCGGAGUCAUUUAUACAAAAGUUAAACUUCGGUCAACUCUUACAACCUGAGCUUCCAACCUUGGGUCUAAGUAUCCCAUUUCACUCUAAACCUCUCUGAAACCAAACCAACUACCCUGUCUAACUACAAAUACACAUAAUCAAGGCAUAAUAUAGGGGAAACGGGGCUAAAAUACUCAAAACGACUGGCUGGGUCGUUACAUUCUCCAUCUCUUUGACAAAUGUUCAUCGUCGAACGAGUAUAGAGACAUACCUAAAGUGCCAAAAAUAUUAGGAUAUCGGCUCCGUAUAUCAUGCUCGGUCACCUAAGUCACUUCCUCGACCGGUUGACCUCUUCACUAAACCUUUACUGAUGAAAUAUUCUUCGACCUCAACUUCUGGACAUGCCUGUCCAAAAUAGCCACCGACUCCUAAACAUAUGUCUAAUCCUUUUCUAAUUGCACUGAGAUAAAAUCUAACACAUGUGAUGGAUCACCAUAAUACUUUCGGAGCAUAGAAAUAUGGAACACCGGGUGAACUCCUGAUAAGCUAGGUGAAAAUGUAAGUUUGUAGGCCACCUCACCCACUCUCUCAAGAAUCUCAAAAGGACCAAUAUACCGAGGGCUCAACUUGCCCUUCUUCCCGAACCUCAUCACACCCUUCAUGGGAAAAACUUUGAGUAGAACCCUCUCACCCACCAUGAAUACUGUUGUACACUAAUUUGCACGAGUCAAUACAAGAUUCAACUAAUGGUUUUCCUAUUGAUAAUAAAAGAGAUUCGUCACCUAAUAUUUAAAGGUAUACUAGGGCACCUAUUUAAUUAUUAAGAUCAUUAUCCUAUUAGUCUUCUAACCAAUGAGAUUUGGGUAAGGGUUCAUGUUCUUUUAAGGGGAAGGUGUUAGGGACCCCCUAGAAUCUACCUAUGGUAGUUCCAUAGGACUUAGACUAGGUUAGGGAAUUUAGAUGUCUAUAUCGUACUUAAUUAGUGCUUAAAAUGUGCGGCUUACCUUAUGUUAUGUGGUAAAAGUUAUCAAUUUUGAAAGAGGGGUAGUAUACAUGCCUUGAAAAGGUGUAGGUUUUAUUUAGGAGAAAUGCUUUUGAAAAUGCCCGUGCAAUUGAACGAGUGUUUUAAAAAUAAGUGUAUAACACUACUUUAAUAACAAAAAUAGAGUUAAGUUUAAAACAUUUGGUUUUGAACAAAAUGGCUGUUUAUGCAAAGUAUGAACUAUUGGGGAAGUGUGGUUCAGAUAUACUUUGAAAGCUGAUUUUAAAUCUCAUAUUCAAAUUCAAGGAAAAUCAUUUGAAGAUCCUGAAUUGCAGCAGUAUUUGUUGAUUCGUAGAAAUAACCCGCUUUUGAAAUCAUUUUCUGGUGUUUUUAGUUUCUUGUUAUUUUAGAAAGAGAAGGCUAUUGACUUUGCAAAUCAGUCUUAGUUUCAAAACAAACUUCAUGAAAAUUGUUAGUAAAAAAUAAUGACGGAAGUUGAAUAAUAUGAGUGAUUAACAGUUAGAAUUAAUUACUACGAAGUUGCAGUACCUUUAUUUUUACCUACGUCUUUAGGGCUUGCCUAGGUUAUUAGUAUAACUCAAAGAAAUAAAGUAAGACAUUCAAUCAAUAUUGCCAGUGUUGAUACAUAUAAGAAUAGCAGUAAACUUAUAAGAGAGCUGAAAGAAAAGAAAUGGACUCAUAGUUUUGGGCCUAAAAGAGAUUAGGCCCAGCAGACAGCGAAAAUGAACAGCAACAACUCUGAUGACUCCAAUAAUUAAUGUGAAGUCACAUAGAGUAAAGCAAUUUACACAGAGUAAAGCAAAUUAAUAUGAAUUCACACAGAGUAAAGCAAUUUAUAGUGAAACCUUUGUUUCCAUUUAACACCUACUAAACCUUAAGAGAUUAGCAAAUGUCAAUAAUUAAAUGCUUAGGGUAAAAUUCAAUUCAUGGCCGAGAUAGCCUUUGAUAUAUGGUACUUCAAAGUUCACAAGGCUCUGAAGGACCCCGAGCAAUGCGUGUGUCAGGGAGAAUAUCUCAACCAAGAAAUAAAUUCUACUCCCAAAUACCCCUAACUACUCACACUUACUCUUCCCUACAGGUUUAAGUGCUAAUGAGGCAUUCAAUAUAAAUUUAAAUACAAUAGUAAUGACAACACACAAGGAGAUGUAUAUUUCUUUUAAAUAACUAUUUGGAACACUGAAGAUAACACCAUAAGAGAUCAUAGUUCUCAUCCAAGCAUGUAAUACACUAUUAUGUACUUUAACAGGCUCGAAAGUACCCAAUACGAUCAAUUAUAGGUGCAGGUAAGUAAUGAGAACACCAACAUGUCGAUACCAGAACUCAGAACAAGUGAAUCAUGUAUUUAAAAGAAGCAUAGGAGAUAUCAUGUGUAUUAACACCACUAGUCCUACUGGAAGGUUCAUACUUAUGAGAAUUAUUAGCUAUAAUUAUGUACUUAAUCAUGUAUAUACUUAAUAAAAGUCUACGCACAAACUAGCACUCCACUUCUCACUAAGUGUAAGGGUUAACAGUCCACUUCAGAGUUCUUAAAAGAAAGGGAUAAGCAAAUACAUUUACUUAACAAGUGACAUGACCUCUAAAGAAAUCUUUCAUUCCAUCUAGGUUGGUUAGAAAUUAAAUACAUAAUCCAAUACUCAACAAAGCAGACGAGCAUCAAGGAGUUUCUCCUAAGUUUAUAAUGACUAUAGUUAACUAAUAUUGACUUAACGAAGCUAGGUGAUAUCAAAGGACACAUGUGUGAGCAUGUAAGACAAACAGAGCUUGUUCAAGAAUAAGCUGAGUGCAGAAGUCCAAGAGAUAACAUUCAAAUACACACAUAUGACAGUCUUAUAGGAUCACAACAUGGCAGACAUGGUUGAAUAUCAGGAGACCAAAUUAAUAGUGUUACUAAGUGUAAGUUUCAGGGAAGUCAAUGAGAAUAUUACAUUAAGGAUCUAUCAUAAGUAGUGUAUAAGAACUUAGUCAUGAUGAAGCUUAACUAAAUACUUUAGCACAACAAAUAAGACUUAAACACUAUAGAUGUAUCUUAAUGAGGUUUCAUAACUUAAGCUAAAAGUGGAAUAGUUUUAGAAUAUACAAAAGGGCAAGUACAGGGGUACAAUAUGUUUUAGAACAUGCUUAUACAAUGAAAUCCCGGACAUAAUUGCACAGUCAUGAGGUUCAACAAAAGACUAAUGACCUCUCAAAAGUCAAUAGAGUCACAAAAAGCACAUUUUAAAGAAGAAAUUGAUCUAAAUGUCAUGAGCUGAUGUACCUAGACUAAGGUGAUAGUCCUAUCUUUAUCACUGAAGGGUUCAUAUCAAUUUAGACUAGUUAUCAAGUGAAUCAUACCAAUAACACUAAGGCAAACGAAUAUGGCACACAUGAGAACCACAAUAGAACAUCAGAAGGUCUAAUAAUUAAGAUAACUAUAUGAGAUCAUUUGAAAGUUUCUUAGUUAAUAUCAGAAGCUUCACAAUGUAUAAGUUAUUCAAAGACAUGUUCAUUAAGAUUACCAAAAUAAUCGAUUAGUACAUGAUUCUAUUUCUAGGUUAUCAAAGAAACUUGUACUCUAAAGUUUAGUAAUCAAUCAUGAGCUAAUGAAAAAAUACAUAGAGGUAAUUAACUAUAAUAUAUCAAAAAAACAGAGUGACUUAACAAGAAAACAAUAGAAUAAACAUAAUUUUGAAUAAAUAAUUAAAAGAGAAGAAAGGUCGAGCCUCAUUGACCUUCUUUUGGGCAGCAAACCAAAUGAGAGUCUUUCUUAGCCGUUAAGAAUCAGGAACUCAAACUCCAACCAGUGUUAAACUCAGAAUCAGAAAGAAAUCAACGGCUAGUAAGAAACCCUAACUUGAUUUUGCUACUCAAGAACAAAAAUUUGAUGUUUCUAUGUUUAGUAAGUAAUUUUCAUGUGUAUCUUAUGUUGUUAGGUGAGAGCAUUGAAGGCUCCCUUUAUAGUGGCAUUCAAUGCCUUAAGGUUCAAUAGAAAUCAAACUCGGUUGGUAGAAGAUGAUGAUGAGGUGGUGAUGUGAGGAAACGUGUAAAAAUCCUAGAUGAAAGUAGUAGUGAUUUUACCUGAGUGGAGUGAGUCGUCCGUUGAUGGCAACGACCUAUCAGACAAAGCCCAAAAACCCAAAGGUCACCACGUUUGACCUCUGGGUACAGAAUCUUCAUGAUGAUGGUCGGAAGAGGCUCCUCAUGUGCUUUGAUUUGAAAGAACAUAAGAGUUCACAGUCGAUUUAAGAUUUCACCCUUUAGUCUGUGAUUUCAACAUUAGGGUUAUUGAAAUUAAUCAGUGGAAAUGGAAAGAAAGUAGCAAGAUUCGUAGUACACGGACAAGAUGGAUAUCCAUGCAUGCUCGAUUUGAAAGAAUGAAGAAGAAAAUCAGACGUUCUGAAGUUCCACUUUUUGGGUUAGGGUUUUCGGAUUUGGGGAUUUUGAAUCUCAACAAUGAAAGAGGAAAGAAACAGCAGCAUUCGCGGAUUUAGAUGACAAAAAGAAUUAUAUGUGGUUUGAUUCGCGGAUUUGUGAAAGGUUCUUUGACUAAUUGGGUCUGUUAAGUUGAGAGAAAUGAGAGAGGAAAGGGGAAGGGGGCGCUGAGUCGGGUGAGAAAUGAUUAGGGUUUGGAGAUAGUUGGGGUUGGGUCUCUACGUUUAAACGGGGAGAUGGGAUCUGGGCCGUUGGAUCUCCUGAUCAACGACCCUGAUAAUUUGGGCAUUAAAGUAUUUUAGUGGGAAAUAUUCUGAUGGGGUGUUUAAAUUAAAGGGAAAAUGAGAUAAAACGAGAGCCGUUGAUCUAAAGGAUGGACGGCUUGGAUCAAUUAUGUUUUUUGUGAGUGUUGCGGAGAGGUGACGUGGAGAGUUCUGAUUGGUUCACAUAGGUUGAGGCGGAUUGCCAAAGUCGAAAGGGAGGGGUGUUUGGACUGGGUCAGAUUUGAUUUGGGUUGGUUUUAAUUUAUCAAAUAGCCAUUUCGUGUUUAAUUGUGCAAUUGCAAUUGUAGCAUUUUGGUCUUUAACCAUUUAAAAAUUAAUUUAAAUGAACUUAAUUAAUUUUAAUAAAAUAUAAUAAUAAUUAUAAUAAUCAAAUAUAUUAUUAAUUAUAGUAAUUAGUUAAUUAAUUACUAAAUAUCUUAUUUUCCUAUUUUGGAUUUAUUUUGAAAUAAUGGGCUAUUUUCUAAAAAUUAAGAAAUAACUUUGUUAAAUUAAUUAAAAAUCUAUGUGAUGAAUAUGAGAGUAUUUUUAAUAGUCUCAAAAUAGUAAGAGUAAUAUAUUUAUAAUUAUAUAAUACUAAAUUAUGAAUUAACAUCAUUGAUUACUUAAUUUUAUAAAACAUGUAUUAUUACUCAAAAAAUAUCUUUAACAUAUUUAUUGGAAACUAGUAAGUAUAGAUAAAUAAAUUUUUAAAAGGAGGAUCAAAAUUAGUCGUCAACAGCUGCCCCUCUUUGACCGCAGAUAAUGAAAGAGUGCUCGGGCAAAGAAAUCGAACCAAGGCCAAUUUUGUCCCCACCUUAGGCAUACAUUGCCGGAAUGGCAUAUGGAUUUAGGGAAGAUUAUGGGUUGUAGAAUUAGGGAAGGAGCUAAGGAAGACUCCGGGAGAAUUUGGAGAAUCGGGGUCGAAUUCUGGCUUUGAAUUGCUUACAUACCUCAGGCUUGACGAGGAUCAGGCCUCGUGUAGUUCUACAGUGAUGAUAUGGAGGAGGUGUUGCUUGAGGAAUUGCCCCAGUAUCGUAUUAUGAAUAUAAUGCGAGAUGGAAGAUUUUGGUACCCAUGAUAGCUCUGAAUUGCUGCUUGAUUUGAAAGAUUUGAUAAAUUAGAGUUCCACUGAUCGAAUUUGAGUUUGAUUUUUGAUCCUUGGCCCGCUUAUGAGUUUGUUGUCCCUCAUAGCAUUGUAGCUUGGUUUGCUACUUAAAAGGAGUUCCACGUCGUGAUGUUUGGUCCUGCAAAACAAAGCAUACACAUACCCAAAUAUCGUAAUGCAGAUAUGUUAAGAUGUAAUGUAAAUGAUGCAGGAAUGAUGAUGUUUGGUUGCCUGCUAGCCGUUAUUUGGGAUUGGAAUGAUGGGAUACUUGAGUUUGACUCCAUUGUUAGCCGGGCUAUGUACCAUUCCACAGUUGUCAGAGCAUUGAGUCUCCUCACGUUGGGAGUAUCUCCGUGCGAUAGGAGUAGCUGACUUGUAAUAUAGAAGGUAUCUCCGCGUGAUAGGAGUAGGUGACUUGAAAUGUCAAAUAUAUCUCCGCGUGACAGGAGUAGAUGCAUUGAAAUUAAAGUAUCUCCAAACGAUGGGAGUUUCUAACUUGAAAAAUAUAAGAUGCCUGUAAGCUACACGAGCAAAACGUCAAAACAUUCAAGAUAAAAUAAAGAAAUAAGGAGCAUGCCCAAGAGGUACUCUUGACUGCAAACUAAAUGCGGUCGUUGAUCGGCAGAACGUAUGGCAGGAUUUGAUAACUAUCUACUUCUAAUCUCCGAUAUGAUGGAGUGGCGAUGGGGAACGCUCCCAUUGGCGAAGAGAAUAGUUUGCUAUAUACAGGGCUUUGGUUGGAAAAACCGACAGCUCGAUUUGUACAAGACGCUCUGAUUGAUUGAGCUAACGGUUUUCUAUAUACAUGGCUCCUGUUGACGGGACCAGUGGCUCACUAUAUACAAAGUGCUCCACUUAAAUGAGCAGACGGUUUGCUAUUUACAAUAUUGCUCCAAUUGUAUCAUCAUCCUGGUUCCAGAAUACCUCCAAAGGAUUUGGAAGUUAGUCUUUAGUUGUAUGAGGAAAUAAUUUAAAUAAUGAAAGAGAUGGUAGUUAUGAGAGAGAAGCGGAUUCGUCAUUGCCCCAGCGUGCCCUAGCAUUUCCUUGUAUCAUGUUGGUCCUACGUUCAAAGAAAUAUUCUUAGCAGGGGGUGUUGGUUUAUGUUGACCGUAGUCCUGGCUUUGCCCCAGGUCUGGUGAGGUUAUGCCAUGAAGUUCGGUAGGUGGAAUGAUAGUUUUUUAGAAAAACAUUUUGAAAAUCAUCCAUUUUUAUGGGGAAUGCUGUCGUUCAGGAUUAUGACAUGUUUAGAAAUUCGCUCAGAAGACUCUAUCUCGUUGAUGUCGAUUCUUGGAGAUGCUCCUAAUGACGUAGCUUCUCAUUGUUGUGAUUGCAUCCUAAUCUAAACGAAUGCGUUACAAAGGUUUUCCUAGGAUUAUGACUGAACCCUUUUCAAGUUGCUUAUGUAUCCGAAAUAGAAUCAAGUCUGAACGUAAUUUGUGGGUAAUGAUAAAGAAAUUAUAAUGGUGACCGAGCCUGACUCAGGCAACGUACGUAUCCAAAUGGGAUCAGGUUAAAACGUAGUUCAAUUACAAUAGAUGCCAAAUGAUGGGAUUGAAAAAUGAAAUGACCGAGUCUGACUCAGACUGCCUACGUAUCCAAAUAGAAUCUAGCCAGAACGUAGUUCAAUUACAACAGAUGACUGAAUCCGAUAAGAAUUGCCAAGGUAUUCCUGCUGAAGGAAAUCAAGUCGUGGCAUAGUUCUGAAUACAUACAAAAUGAUGUUUGGAUUUUCUAUUACAAAAGAAGAGGAGGGGAGAGAGAGACCGGACCCUACGUGGGUUGCCUACAUAUCCCACCAUGGGAAGUCAAGUUGGGCGUAGUUCUGUUACAACCAAACCUAACUCUAAUGUUUUUUAAUGUAGUAUCUUUCAAUUACAUCUAAAUUGAUAGGCUUCGUGCUGACUCUUCCGACCAUUUUUGCUAAGAUCAGAGCUCCUCCCGACAAUAUUCGAUGGACCACGUAAGGACCUUGCCAAUUUGGCGCAAACUUUCUCUUGGCUUCUUCAUGGUGAGGGAAUAUCUUCUUCAAAAUCAACUGCCCCGGUGUAAAUUCACGAGGUUUCACCUUCUUGUUGAAUGCAUUGGCCAUCCUAUUUUGAUACAGCUGACCAUGGAACACUGCGUCCAUUCUCUUCUCAUCAAUGAGCAUCAGUUUCUCCUACCUGACCCGUAUCCAUACUGCGUCGUCUAACUUGGCUUCCUGAAUGACUCUCAAGGAUGGUAUCUCAACUUCUGCGGGUAUCACAGCUUCGGUGCCAUAUACCAACAUGUAUGGCGUUGCCUCAGUGGAUGUUCUCAUGAUGGUCUGAUAACCUAGCAGGGCGAAGGAUAAUGUUUCGUGCCAUUGCCUAUGAUUGUCCACUAUUUUCCGUAGAAUCCUUUUGAUGUUUUGUUGGCUGCUUUAACUGCCUCAUUCAUUUGCGGUCUAUAGGUUGUAGAGUUACAAUUAACGAUUUAGAAUUUUUCACAAAUCUCCUCAUGAGAUAGCUAUUGAGAUUGGUUGCAUUGUCAGUGAUUAUCGAUUUUGGUAUUCUUCUUGGUCAUCCAAAAGUAUCAGGUUCUUAAAUUCUUCUUGGGUAAAGUGAAGCAGUUCAUGUGAGGUCCACAUGUCCCUGCAUGUACUUCUUUUAGUAAUUUGGUUGCUUUAGCAGCAUCUACACAUCUUAAAAGACCCAAAUCCUGGGUCCUCCUGUACAUGACUUCCCCGUUGAGGAAAAAGUGAUUUGCUAGCCUUCUGAGCGCUCGCUUCUGACCAUUGGUGGCAUCCUCUGGGUACUCUCUUAUUUCCAGAAACCUCACGGAUUACCAUCCGCCUCUUCAUCCACAUGGAAACAGUACGCAUGCUAAUCCCGGAUCUCUAUCUCAAUAGGAUCGAUGUAAUUCUUAUAUUGAUGUUGGAUCAUGGACGACAAGGAUGCUAGAGCGUCGGCAAACUCUAUCUAGAUCCUAGGAAUGUGUUUGAACUCGAUCUUUGUGAACUUCUUACACAGCUCUUUCACACAAUGCAUGUACGGGAGGAUCUUGACAUUCUUGGUAGUUCGUUCCCCUUGGACUUGAUGUAUCAACAUAUCAAAAUCUCCUAUGACCAGAAGAUCCUUGAUGUUUAUGUCAACCACCAUCCUAAUCUGAGGAUGCACGCUUUAUACUCAGUGAUAUUAUUGGUGCAAGGGAACCUUAUCUUUGUUAAUGCCAGGUAACGCUGUCCUGAUUCUGAAAUUAAGACUGCCCUAAUUCCUAUUCCUUUGAAAUUUGCUGCUCCGUCGAAGAACAUUCUCCAUCCUGGGUAUGACUCUGCGAUGUCUUCUCUGGCGAACAAUAGUUCUUCAUCCGGAAAGUAUGUAGUGAGCGGCUCGUAAUCCUUUUCCAAUGGGUUCUCUGCAAGGUGAUCGGCUAAAGUUUGUCCUUUGAUGGCCUUCUGCAUUAUGUAUACAAUGUCGAACUCGCUGAGAAGAAUCUGCCAUUUGGCCAGUUUUCCGCAGGCAUCGGCUUCUAAAAGAUAUACUUGAGCGGGUCGAGCUGGAAUAUUAGAUAUGUGGUGUAUGCCGACAUGUAGUGCCUCAACUUCUGGGCGAUCCAAGUCAAAGCACAAAGGUACGCUCUAUUAGAGUGUAUUUGGCUUCACGUGGUGUAAAAUUCUUGCUCGGGUAGCAGAUAGCUUGUUCUUUCCUUCCAGUCUCAUUGUGUUGUCCCAACGCAUCCAAAUACAUUAUCCAAAACUGACAAAUAUAAUAAUAGUGGCUUCCCGGGCUUGGGGGAACCAAUACCGGUAGAUUUGACAAGUACUCCUUGAUCUUGUUGAAGGUUUUAUGACACUUUUCUAUCCAUUUUGUAGCAGCAUCCUUUUUCAGCAGCUUGAAGAUGGACUCACAAAUUACCGUAGAUGGGGCUAUGAAUCUACUAAUGUUAUUUAAUCUGCCAAGGAAACUCAUCGCAUCCUUCUUUCUCUUAAGUGGUAGUAAGUCUUGAAUGCCUUUGAUCUUUGAAGGAUCCAGUUCUAUCUCUUUCUUGCUCACAAUGAAACCAAAUAGUUUUUCGGUAAGGACUCCGAAUGCACAUUUUGUGGGGUUCAACUUUAGAUUGUACCUCGGCAAAUGUUCGAAGAACUUCUUCAGAUCACCCAAAUGCUCUAGACUCUUUCGAGAUUUGGAGAUGACGUCAUCCAUAUAUACCUCAAUUUCUUUAUUGAUCAUGUCAUAAAAGAGGGUCGUCAUGGCCCUCAUGUAAGUAGCAUCGGCAUUCUUGAUGUCGAACGUCAUGAAUAUGUAGCAAUAAACUCCCCAAGGCGUAGUGAAUGAUGUAUUCUCCGCAUCUUCUUAAUGCAUCAAAAUCUGACGGUACCCGGCGAAACAAUCCACGAACGACUGUAGCUUGUGCUUUGCACAAUUGUCAAUGAGGAUAUGGAUGUUUGGUAAAGGGAAAUCGUCCUUUGGACUGGACUUGUUAAUAUCUCGAUAGUCCACACAUAUCCUGAUCUUCCCAUCCUUCUUUGGCAUCGCUAUGAUAUUUGCCAACUAUGUGGGAUAAUUGGUGACCCUCACCAUGUUCGCCUUUAUAUGUUUGGUCACUUCUUGUUUUAUCCUUAAACUCAAAUUUGGCUUGAAAUUUCUAGGUUUUUGUUUGACUGGAAGUCUAGUAGGAUCAGUAGGCAAUCGAUGCGAAACGAUGUCGGUACUCAAUCCGGGCAUGUCAUCAUAUGACCAUGCGAACACGUCAUUGUAUUCUCUGAGGAGCUCGACCAGUUCUUUUUUCUUCUCUAUUUCUAUAUGGAUGUUGAUUCGAGUUUCUUUCAAGUCUUCUUCGCUUCCCAGGUUGAUUACUUUUGUCUCUUCCAGGUUAGGCUUUUUCUAGCUUUCAAUUGCUCGAUCUCUUAUGGAAGAUUAUCUGGCAUCAUGCUUUCAUCGUAUUCCUUAUAGUCUGAUCUCUUUUCUCGAGGGUUUCAUUAUAUGCCAUAAUCACGGAACAUGAGUUUUUAUUGAUUUGAUUACUGAAAAGAAAAACUAAGUAUAAAUGAAGAGAUAAAUAAGUUUGCAAUGAUUUUAAGAAAGUAAUUCUUUUUAUUUCAUCAAAGGGAACGUCUAAGCGUUCAAGGAGGCAAUUGACAAAAAAGUACAGGCACGGUUCAAGCCUCAAUUGACCAUGCAUUUUCUUCCAAAGUUUUAAAAUUCCACACUACCAAGACUCCUGGCAAACCAAAGAUGGGUUGGUGGUCCAAUUCUGCAAGUUCUAUCCUGAUUCGGCAUCCCGAAUAGUCGGUGUCUUGACAUCAACUUUGUCAAAGCAUUCCUCGAUCAUGGUCACAAACAGCCUUCCCAUUCUAUCAACGAUGUCGUACUCUGAUGUUGAGCUCUGACUCAGACCCGGACCCGGAACAUGCUCUGGCACAAAAGCCUUCUUCCCGAAGCCACCAGUAUAAGUCUUUAUAGUUGGAGGUUGAUACCCUAGACCAGCUCUAUCCUUCUGUCCCUUUGUCUCAAUCAGUUCCAUUAUCCCAUCUGAUCGGGCUCCCAGCCCUGUCUAUGUUCAAUACCCAUACUUCAUCAUUUCUCUCAUAGCCAUCGUUGAUCUGUAUGGUGACUGCAUACCCAAAUUCUUCUCAGUCUCCCUAUCUCUGUGGUCUGCAUGAUUUAGACCGCAUGAAAAGCGACCCCGUCCAAUCCUUCUAUGAACAGAACUGCAUGUUCUAGAUAAGCUGACUGGCUCCAUUCACCAUGAACUAUAAUCUCUUUACAACCCCAUUUGAACUUCAUGCACUGAUGGAGGGUGGAUGGAACUACCCCUGUUAUAUGUAUCCAAGGUCUUCCCAGCAACAAGUUGUAUGAGGCCGAAAUGUCCAUUACUUUAAAUAGUAUUGGGAACUCAUCAAGUCCAAUUUACAGAUCUAAGUAGAUUUCCCUAAUGAUGUCUUUCUGCAACCCAUCGAAAGCUCUCACCCUCACAUGGCUUUCUUUCACUUCUCUUGGAUGAAUACCCAACUCUCGUAGAGUAGAGAAGGGGCAGAUAUUGACUUUGGAUCCUCUAUCAACAAGUACUCGGGACACCACUUUAUCCCCGCACUUGACGGUAAUAUGUAAGGCCCUGUUCUCAAUCACGCCCUCUACUAGAAGUUCACCUCUUUGAAAAGUAAUCAUGUUUGCCUCGACUAUCUAUCCGAUGGUCGCUACCAGUGCCUUGCUGGUAGUGUUGUUCGUCACGCUCACUCCACUUAACACUUUCAUCAAGGUGUCUUUAUGACUGUCAGAAUUCAUCAGCAGAUCCAUGAUUGAUAUAUGUGCAGGGGUUUUCUUCAAUUGCUCAUCCAUAGAGUAUUCUUUAGCUGACAUCUUUUUCCAAAAUUCUACGGCCUCAGCAUCUAUUAUAUUCCUCCUCUGAAUCUGUCCCCUUCCUGGAUUUCCUCAAUUUACCUCCUCCAGAUCAUAAUACCUCCCUGACCUGAUCAUUCCAUGAGCCACUGCAGAAUCUAUCAUCUUGCCUUUCCCUUUCUUCUGAUACAUCCAUGGGACUAUCUUGUAUUCCCGAUCCUCCUAAUUCCUGAUAGUGACGGUGGACUGUUACUGGUAUAUCUGGACCAUCACUGGAGGUUUUAAUUUUAAGGUGAUCAUCAGAGUCCUUCGGGGUGGAACCCUUGCAGCAUCAAUGUUUCCUAUUGUUACGAUGGUCCCUUUCAAGUCCUACUCUUCAUCUAGGGUGAUCAUAUUAGUUGUUUGAUUUCGAUGGUUUGGCAAUGGGUUAGGUUCACAUUGGGUAGAGCUGGGGUGCAUUGAAUGGAUCCAUUUUUAAUCAUCGUCUCAAUUUCAUUCUUCAGUCUGAAGCAAUCCUCGGUACCAUGCUCUGGUAUGCCUGAAUGGUAGACCAUCAUUUGGUUGCAUAAAAGUAUUUUGAAGGAUGCUUAGGAAUCCUCCCUUCUACCGGAUGUAUCAAGCCAACUCUUCUUAAUCUUUCAAAUAGUUGAGCCAAAGGUUCAGCAAUUGGGGUGUAGUUUAUGGGACCUCUUUCUUCGAAUUUUGGGCGAGGUCGGGGUGCAUAGGUGGGACAAUUUUGAUGGGUGGUGGUCUGAACUAGAGCAUAUGAUCGUGAUGAAUUUUAAUUUAUAUGGGCGCGAGGUGGGUUAUAUUGAUAAUGUGGAUUAUAGUAUGGUUGCAUAUUAUAUACUAGAGCAUAGGUAGGUUGGUGUGGCGAAUGUGUAUUUAGAGGGUAAGAGUUGUUUCCAUGGGUGAAUUGGACUGGUAAUAGGGAACGAUUGUUGAUACCUUUUCUUUCUUCUUCUUUCCACUGUUUAUGGAACCAGACUGAAUUGCCUUGCUAGCUGCUUGCAACGUGGCCAUGGAUUGUAUCUUCCCUAACUUAAUCCCUUCCUCCAAAAAGUGUCCCAUUUUGAUAAGUUCAGGGAAAUUCUGCCCUAUCAUGCCCAUCAUCUUUUUAAAGUAGAUAUCCUCUUGCGCCCUAAUAAAACAUUUGGUUAUCUCAUUGUCAUCUCGCGGGGGCUGGGUUCUAGCAGUCUCUGACCUCCAACGACGGGCAUACUCCUGAAAUGAUUCUGAUGGCUUUUUCUACAAAUUUACCAGGGCGAACCUAUCUGGAGUAAUUUCUGUAUUGAACCGGAAAUGGUUCAUGAAGUCUUCUACCAUAUCCUGCCACUCUCUCCAAUUCUGGGAUCUGGCGGGUGUAUCAAGUGAGCGCCCCUCCUGUCAAACUUCUUAUAAAUAGCUUCAUCCUUAACUUCUCAUUUCUUCCAAAUCCAACUAACUUAUCGCAGUAGGCUCUCAAGUGUGCAUGGGGAUCACCUGUCCCAUCAAAGAUGUAUAACGUCCGAGGCAUAUAGCCUACUGACCUGUCCACAUCAGGGUGCAUGCACAGAUCCUUGUAAUCUAGACUUUUGCUCCCCGGGCGACCUGGAGGUUUUUCAUUUGUUUCCUUAAUGCUAGCAGCUGUUCGGAUACCGACUCUUCCUCUUUAUACUUAGCUUCCCUCUCCAUUUAGGCAUAUUAAUGAACUUCAUAAGGUAACCUGACCAUGACGAGUGCUGUGAAGGAUUCUGAAAUGGCAUAUACGGGCAUAACAUAAAGCUCAUGUGCAGUGGUAUGUGCUGUAGGUAUGUGCUGGUUUUGAUUGUUGGUAAAGGUGAAACCAUUAUAAGGAGGGGUAUGAACUAUGUUGGUAGUGACUAGUGGGUUUUGUAGUGUCUGAACAUAAUUUGGUACAUAAGGGGUAUAUAUGGGAGGAUUUGGUGGGUUUAUAUGGGUUACUGGGGGUAUAAUCUGGGUUGUAGUGACUGAAGUUGGGGUAUUGUUUGCUUGGCGGGUAGUUUAAGGAAUGUGAUCGGGGAUCGAAUCUAGUGAAGGAAAGCAGGUUGUUGUGGGAGCACUGUCAUGGCCGGAUGCACCAAUUCCCGAAUGUGUUGUACUUCCUCUCUCAACAAUUCCAUCUCUUGUGCCAUACUAGCAACAUGUUUGUCGUUUCGAGUAUUAUCCUUUUCUCCCGAUUGCCCCGGGCUAUCAGCUAUCACUGAAGCGUGUCCAGUCAGGUCAUCUGUCGCAGACAUCUUCCCUUUCGAUCUCAAGUUGUAUGGUGGUUCCACCACUUUUCUGGUCAACACAAACCAACCUCUUCUUUGGGGGAUAUUAAUAAAGUAAUGCAAGAAAAGAAUAGAAGAGUAGAAGUUAGUUUCAGUUUUUGCACAAAUAUGAGCACGUAGAGCAGUUAGUUCACGUAUUUAAAUAAGCGUGUUUCCUAAUAUGCGAGGGACCUCUCUUUGCUGGAGGUGGGCCUAAGUCGCGUGUAUUUGACAAAUAAUUUGAUUUGACACGUUUAGAUACGAAGAAAACUUUGGUUUUCAUUAAUAAUAUUUGGAUUGUAAUGGGCGAGAACAAGGUUUACAACAUUGUUUUUCCAACAUCCAUAAGAUUACAUGGGCUCAACAGGCUUUCCUUUAGGGAAAUAAAAGGGUACAGUAUAAAGGAUGUAAGAUAGAAAAGGGGGAAAUUAAUCAGCCACUAAUAGCCAUCCCUGGAAUCAUCUCCCAUAUCUUCUUCCUCUUCUGGUUCUUCUUCUGGGUCUUAUCCAAAUUCCUGUUCUUCUUCAGCAUUGUACUGGGGCUCCUCUUCAAGAUCUUCUUUUGGUUCUAUCUCAGAUUCAAUUUGUAUACACUCGACCAAUCGAUCAUCAUUCUUUGGAGGUGGCAGCAUAUGAAUAAGUGACCAUAGGACCACUUAGUGAUGCAUGGAGGUAGUCACCAAGUAGUGAGGCAAAAUCUCAUGAUAGAUUUGUAAAGUCGCUGCUACAUCCUCUAACUAGGCUAUUCCUUCUCUGCUUGGUCGGGCCAGUUCAUCCUCCCCAUUGAUCCGAACAUAGUAUUCUAGAGUGCACCACGAAUUCUGACCUAUCGGCAUCAUAAUUAAAUCAUUCCACUCCCCUGAAGUCUUCUUAUCCUUGGGAUCGGGAUCUGCCCGUUGUACUCAUCUUCAUACCGAGUCAUUCUCGGCCAAAAGGGUACAUCUUGGAUCAGACCAAACUGCCUGAGAAUCCAAAGGGUACAUCCUGGAUCAGACCAAACUACCUGAGAACUCAUAGGGGUGCAUAUGGCUGAAUGCCUUUGAGUCCUAUCAGCUCGAUGAAAUACUUCUGGGGGUCCUUAGAAUUGCCCUGCCGCUCAGCCACGAAAGCUUCCAAUUUAUCCAUUCUCCGCUCACGUUUAUCAGCAUCUCUCUCCAUUUUUUUGUCCGUGAGGGGAUACCUAAUGCCUCAUUUUCUCAUUGUGACCCCGAAUCAUAUUGCUAACACCCACAAAGUAAUCAAUUAUGGCCUCUAGUUGAAAGAAGUGCUCUGUGGCCCAUAUUUGGAGUAACAAGCUGCAUCCCUUGAAGGAAUCGUAUCCCCGAGAACAUGCAGACAGUGCUGUAAGAAUUUCUGCCAAUAUAAUAGGCACUAAGGUGGCUUGGAGGUUACCCAAAAAUGUUGCCAAGACCAUAAGCAGCAAGUUGAUGUUGAUUCGUCCUCUCCUAUGUGGGAAAACCAGCAAUCCUAACAGUGCCAAAGAGAAGGUUAUGGGGCGGAGACUUUCCCAGGUUGCCUGAUCACAUUGGAACUCUCCCAAGUGCCAUUCGUAGCUCUCUCGAUGUCCAAACCUGUCAAACAAUUGGUCCAGGCUUACCCAUCUGUCCUCAAUGUUCCUCAAACUCCGACAACUUGCCAAACCCAAAGCAUCGAGAAACCUAUAGCUGGGCAUGGUGACCAGUAGUAUCGGCUUUCUCCUAGUAAAUGGCAGCUCUGUGAAGCUGGUGACUUCUUCUAACGUUGGCACCAAUUCACAAUCAGCGAACUUGAAAAGUACAUUGGUUGGAUACCAGAAUUCGAUCAGCAAAUGGUAAGAACCUUAUUGGCCUGGAUGUUUAGAAAGGCAGUCAAUUCUCCUAGGUGCGUCCUGAUCUCGUCUUCAUGGUCUCAGCGGAUGUUCUCAGCAUCUUGGGGAUGUUCUAGUUGAUUUCUAUUUCUGAAGAGGGUAGAAAAAGGGUUGAUAAGUGUUUUUCUCCGGAUCUUUAGUGUCUCAUCAUGGUUGGUUCGUCAUUCCACAAAAGUCAUGCCAUUGGGUGCAUGACCCGUUGACAUUACCAAAGACCGACCUACCUAAGGUUUAUACAGUAUGACCUAUGUUUGCUAGAGUAGAUGUUUCCUAAUUUUGGAGUUGGACUGAAUACUGCGAGAAGUUAUGUCAAUUGACCUUACAAAUCCAUUCUUUGAAACUAAAGAAUUUUGAAAGAAGGUUCGGAGGGGUGUAAAAGACAACCCUCGCGUGCCAUUAUGUGUGAUAGUGUACGGACAAGACUCGAUAGGAAAGAAUAUGAUGACAGUGCAUAUAAAGCGGUAACAGAUAGUGGGAUAUCAGUAAUAACAUUAAAGUAAGCAGAUAAGUACAAGAUGAACGAGUAGGGAAGGUAAGCACAUAUUUCCAAAUUAAGCACAGUUAAAGCAGUAUAUAAAUAAUUGUUCUUAAAUUCUAUGUCUAGUCUAAAUUUGCUAAGGUCGGAACCUAAGUGCAUUCCCCAGCAUAGUCGCCAUGAUGUUGUGCCCUAUUUUGCAUGAGUCAAAAUAAGAUUCAAUUAGUGGUUUCUCUGUUGAUGAAUAAAGAGAGUCGCCACCUAAUAUUUGAAGGUAUACUAGGGCACCUAUUUAAUUAUUAAGAUCAUUAUCCUAUUAGUCUUCUAACCAGUGAGAUCUGGGUAAGGGUUCUUGUUCUUUUAAGGGGAAGGUACUAGGCAUCCCCUAGAAUCUACCUAAGGUAGCUCCAUAGGACUUAGACUAGGUUCGGGAAUUUAGAUGUUUAUAUCUUACUUAAUUAGUGCUUAAAAUGUGCGGCUUACCUUAUGUUAUGUUGUAAAACUUAUCAAUUUUGAAAGAGGGGUAGUAUAUAUGCCUUGAAAAGGUGUAGGUUUUAUUUAGGAGAAAUUCUUUUAAAAAUGUCCAUGCAAUUGAAAGAGUACUUUAAAAAUAGGUGUAUAACACUUACCUUAAUAACAAAAAUAGGGUUAAGUUUAAAAUAUUUGGUUUAGAACAAACUGGCUAUUUAUGAAAAGUAAGAACUAUUGGGGAAGUGGGGUUCAGAUAUACCUUUGAAAGCUGAUUUUAAAUCUCAUAUUUAAAUUCAAGGAAAAUCAUUUGAAGAUCCUUAAUUGCAGCAACAUUUGUUGAUUUGUAGAAAUAACCCGCUUUUAAAAUCGUUUUCUGGUGUUUUCAGUUUCUUUUUAUUUUAGAAAGAGAAGGUUGUUGACUUUGCAAAUCUAUCUUAGUUUCAAAAAAAACCUCAUGAAAAUUGUUAGUAAAGAAUAAUGACGGAAGCUGAAUAAUGUGAGUGAUUAACAGUUAGAAUUAAUUACUACUAAGUUGCAGUAACUUUUUUUUUACCUACGUCUUUAGGGCUUGCCUUGGUUAUUACUAUAACUCAAAGAAAUAAAGUAAGACAUUCAAUCAAUAUUACCAAUAUUGAUUCAUAUAAGAAUAGCAAUAAACAUAUAAGAACGGUGAAAGAAAAGAAAUGGACUCAUAGUUUUGGUCCUGAAAGAGAUUAUGCCCAGCAGACAACGAAAACGAAUAGCAACAGCUCCGAUGACUCCAAGGUUCAGGAAAGCAUAUGGGCCUGAAUUCUUUAAGAACUCGGCUGACCCAAUUUAGACACAUGCGUCAAAAAGGGAGUAGGUUAUUACAUAUAUGGCCCAAUAUAAAAUUUAAACAUAAGUAACUCUAAUAUAGGCCCAACACAAAAAUGUAACAAUCAAUAACAGUUGGGAAGCAAAUUAAUGUGAAGUCACACAGAGUAAAGCAAUUUACAGUGAAACCUUUGUUUUUAUUUAACACUAAACCUAAAGAGAUUAGAAAAUAUCAAUAAUUAAAGGAUUAGGGUAAAUUUAUAUUCAUGGCCAAGAUACCCUUUGAUCUAUGGUACUUCAAAGUUCACAAGGGUCUGAAGGACCCCGAGCAGUGCGUGUGUCAGAGAGAAUAUCUCAACCAAGAAUUAAAUUCUACUCCCAAAUACUCCUAAUUACUCACACUUACUCUUCCCUACAGGUUUAAGUGCUAAUGAGGCACUCAAUGUAAAUUCCAAUACAACAGUAAUGAGAACACACAAGGAGAUGUAUAUUUCUUUUAAAUAACUGCACUAAAGAUAACACCAUAAGAGAUCAUAGUUCUCAUGCAAGCAUGUAAUACACUGUCAUGUACUUUAACAGGCUCGAAAUUGCCCAAUACGAUCAAUUAUAGGUGCUGGUAAGUAAUGGGAACAUCAACAUGUCGAUACCAAAACUCAGAACAAGUGAAUCAUGUAAUUCAAAGGAGCAUAGGAGAUAUCAUGUGUAUUAACCCCACUAGUCCUACUGGAAGGUUCAUACUUAUGAGGAUUAUUAGCUAUAAUUAUGUACUUAAUCAUGUAUACACUUAAUAAAAAUCUACGCACAAACUAGAACUCCACUUCUCACUAAGUGUAAGGGUUAACAGUCCACUUUAGAGUUCUUAAAAGACAGGGAUAAGCAAAUACAUUUACUUAACAAGUGACAUGACCUCUAAAGAAAUCUUUCAUUCCAUCUAGGUUGGUUAGAAAUUAAAUAUAUAUUCCAAUACUCAACAAAGCAGACGAGCAUCAAGGAGUUUCUCCUAAGUUUAUAAUGACUACAGUUAACUAAUAUUGACUUAACAAAGCUAGGUGAUAUCAGGGACACAUAUGUGAGCAUGUAAGACAAACAGAGCUUGUUCAAGAAUAAGCUGAGUGCAGAAGUCCAAGAGAUAGCAUUCAAAUACACAUAUAUGACAGUCUUAUAGGAUCACAACAUGGCAGACAUGGUUGAAUAUCAGGAGACCAAAUUAAUAGUGUUACUAAGUGUAAGUUUCAGGGAAGUCAAUGAGAAUAUUACAUUAAGGAUCUAUCAUAAGUAGUGUAUAAGAACUUAGUCAUGAUGAAGCUUAAUUUAAUACUUUAGCACAAAAAAUAAGACUUAAACACUAUAGAUGUAUCUUAAUGAGGUUUCAUAACUUAAGCUAAAAGUAGAAUAGUUUCAGAAUAUACAAAAGGGCAAGUACAGGGGUACAAUAUGUUUUAGAACAUGCUUAUACAAUGAAAUCCCAGACAUAAUUGCACAGUCAUGAGGUUCAACAAAAGACUAAUGACCUCUCAAAAGUUAAUAGAAUCACAAGAAGCACAUUGGAAAGAAGAAAUUGAUCUAAAUAUCAUUCGCUGAUGUACCUAGACUAAGGUGAUAGUCCUAUCUUUAUCAUUGAAGGAUUCAUAUCCAUUUAGGCUAGUUAUCAAGUGAAUCAUACCAAUAACACUAAGGCAAACUAGUAUGGCACACAUGAGAACCACAAUAGAACAUCAGAAGGUCUAUUAAUUAAGAGAACUAUAUGAGAUCAUUUGAAAGUUUCUUAGUUAAUAUCAAAAGCUUAACACUGUAUAAGUUAUUCAAAGACAUGUUCAUUAAGAUUACCAGAAUAAUCGAUUAGUACAUGAUUAUGAUUCCAGGUUAUCAAAGAAACUUGUACUCUAAAGUUUAGUAAUCAAUCUUGAGCUAAUGACAAAACACAUAGAGGUAAUUAACUAUAAUAUAUCAGAAAAACAGAGUGACUUAACAAGAAAACAAUAGAACAAACAUGAUUUUAAAUAAAUGAUUAAGAGAGAAGAAAGGCGGACGCUCACUGACCUUCUUUUGGGUAGCAAACCAAAUGAGAGUCUUUCUUAGCCGUUAAGAAUAAGGAACUCAAACUCCAACUAGUGUUAAACUCAUAAUCAGAAAGAAAUCAAAGGCUAGAUAGAAACCCUAGAUUGAUUUCGCUACUCAAGAACUAAAAAUUAAUGUUUCUAUGUUUGUUAAGUAAUUUUCCUGUGUAUCUUGUGUUGUUAGGUGAAGGCAUUGAAGGCUCCCUUUUAUAGUGGUAGUCAAUGUCUUAGGGUUCAACAGAAAUCAAACUCGGUUGGUAGAAGAUGACGAUGAGGUGGUGAUGUGAGCAAACGUGUAAAAAUCAAAGAAGAACAGAGGUGAAAGUAGUAGUGAUUUUACCUGAGUGGAGUGAGCCGACCGUUGAUGGCAACGAUCCAUCGGACAAAGCCCAAAAACCCAGAGGUCACCACGUUUGACCUCUGGGUAUAGAAUCUUCAUGAUGAUGUUCUAAAGAGGCUCCUCAUGUGCUUAGAUUUGGAAGAACAUAAGAGUUCUCAUACAAUUUGAGAUUUCACCCUUUUGUUUGUGAUUUCAACAUUAGGGCUAUUGAAAUUAAUUAGUGGAAACGGAAAGAAAGUAGCAAGAUUCGUAGUACAGGGACAAGAUGGAUAGCUAUGCAUGCUCGAUUUGAAAGAACAAAGAAGAAAAUCAGACGGUUUGAAGUUUCACUUUUGGUUUAGGGUUUUCGGAUUUGGGGAUUUUGAAUCUCGAUAAUGAAAGAGGAAAGAAACAGCAGCAUUCGCGGAUUUAGAUGACAAUAAGAAUGAUCUGUGGUUUGAUUCAUGACCUUGCACUAAUUUGUGCAAGGUUCUUUGACUGAUUGAGUCUGGUGAGUUGAGAGAUAUAAGAGAGAAAGGGGAAAGAGGGAGGCCGAGUCAGGUGAGAAAUGAUUAGGGUUUGGGGAUAGCUGGGGUUGGGUCUCUAUCAUUAAAUGGGGAGAUGGGAUCUGGGCCGUUGGAUCUCCUAAUCAACGACCCUGAUAAUUUGGGCAUUAAAAUUUUUUAGUGGGAAAUAUUGGCGGCCGUUGGAUUCUUGUAAUCCAACGGUUGAGAUUAAAUCUGAAGGGGUGUUUAAAUUAAAGGGAAAAUGAGAUAAAAGGAGAGCCGAUGAUCUAAAGGAUGGACGACUUUGAUCAAUUGUGUUUCUUUUGUGAGUGUUGUGGAGAGGUGACGUGGCGAGUUCUGAUUGGUUCUCAUGGAUUGAGACGGAUUGCCAAAGUGGAAAGAGAGGGGUGUUUGGACUGGAUCAGAUUUUAUUUGGGCUUGUUGUUUGGGCUGGUUUUAAUUUAUCAAAUGGCGAUUUCAUGUUUAAUUGUGCAAUUGUAAUUGUAGCCUUUUGGUCUUUAACUUUUUAAAAAUUAAUUUAAAUGAACUUAAUUAAUUUCAUAAAAUAUAAUAAGAAUUAUAAUAAUCAAAUACACUAUUAAUUAUUAUAAUUAGUUAAUUAGUUACUAAAUAUCUUAUUUUGCUAUUUACUACACUAACUUUGGAUUUAUUUUGAAAUAAUGGGCUAUUUUAUCAAAAUUGAGAAAUAACUUUGAUAAAUUAAUUAUAAACCUAUGUGAUGAAUAUGAGAGUUAUUUCAAUAGACUCAAAAUAGUAAAAGUAAUAUAUUUAUAAUUAUAUAAUACUAAAUAAUGAAUUAACAUCAUUAAUUACUUAAUUUUAUAAAAAUAGGUAUUAUUACUCAAAAAAUAUCUUUAAAAAUUUGUUGGAAACUAGUAAGUAUAAAUAAAUUAAUUUUUAUAAGGAGGAUCAAAAUUGGUCGUCAACAAAUACCACAUCACGAGCCCUCCUAUCAGCAUAACUCUUUUGCCUGGACUAUGUUGUAGGAAGCCGCUCCUGAAUCAACUUCACCUUCUCCAAAGCAUCACGGACCACAUCAGUGCCCAACAACCUAGCCUCCCCAGGCUCAAACCAACCAACUGGAGAACGACAUCGUCUCCUAUAUAAGGCCUCGUAAGGAGCCAUCUGCAUGUUCGAGUGAUAGUUGUUAUUGUGGGCUGACUCUGCGAGAGGUAGAAACUGAUCGCAUGAACCCCCGAAAUCAAUAACACAGGCACGUAACAUGUCCUCCAAUAUCUGAAAAAUGCGCUCGGACUGUCCGUUUGUCUGGGAUGAAAUGUCGUACUCAGCCAACCUAUAUACCCAACUCUCACUGCAUGGCUCUCCAAAAAUGCAAUGUGAACUGUGUGCCUCGAUCCGAGAUAAUAGACACUGGCACACCAUGAAGGUGAAAAAUCUCCCAAAUAUAAAUCCGAGCCAGCUGCUCUGAAGAGUAGGUAGUCAUGACUGGAAUAAAGUGUGCAGACUUGGUCAGUCUAUCCAUAAUAACCCACACUCCAUUGAAUCUCCUCAAGGUCCGUGGAAGUCCAACUAAUAAAUCCAUAGUGAUAUGCUCCCACUUCCACUAUGGGAUAUCAAGCCUCUGAAGCAAACCACCCGGUCUCUGAUGCUCGUAUUUCACCUGCUGACAAUUCAAACGCCGAGGCACAUACUCCACAAUAUCUUUCUUCAUUCUUCUCCACCAGUAGUGCUACCUCAAAUCAUGGUACAUCUUUGCGGCACCCGGAUGAAUGGAAUACCGCAAACUAUAGGCCUCCUCAAGUAUCAACUCACGCAACCCAUCCACAUUCGGAACACAUAUACGAACCUGCAUCCUCAACACCCCAUCAUACCCAAUAGUCACCUCCUUGGCAUCACUGUAUUGCACCGUGUGCUUAAGGACAAGCAAGUGGGGAUCAUCAUACUGACGCACCUUGAUGCGCUCAAACAAAGAAGACCGUGAAACUACACAAGCAAGAACCUAGCUAGUCUCCAAAAUAUCCAACCUCAUGAACUUGUUUGCCAAAGCCUGAACAUCCAAAGCUAAUAGUCUCUCCCCAACUGGAAUAGAAGCAAGACACUACCCAUGCUCUUAUCCUUCCUACUCAAUACAUCAACCACCACAUUGGCCUUCUCCGGAUGAUAAAGAAUAAUGAUAUCAUAGUCUUUCCUAAAGUUCAGAUCUUUUUACUUGAAUAAGUGAUGUAGACUCCUGUGAUCCCUGAACACCUCACAUGACACGCCGUAAAGAUAAUGCCUUCAAAUCUUCAGUGUGUAAACAAUGGCUGCCAACUCCAAAUCAUGCACUGGGUAGUUUUUCUCAUGGAGCUUCAACUGACUUGAAGCAUAAGCAAUCGCUCUACCCUCCUGCAUUAACACACACUUGAUGCCAAUCCAUGAAGCAUCACAAUAGACUGUGUAAGAACUUGAUGUUGAAGGCAAAACCAGAACUGGAGCUGUAGUCAAGGCAGUCUUGAGCUUCUGAAAGCUCUCCUCACACUUCUCACACUCAUCAAAGGUGUUGCAAUUGAUGAGAAGCCCUCCACGAAAUGACGAUAAUACCCAGCCAAUCCAAGGAAACUCCAGAUCUCAGUAGCAGAAGACGGUCUGGUCCAAUUCUGAACUGCCUCAAUCUUCUUCAAAUCUACCUUAAUCCCCUUACUAGACACAAUGUGGCCCAAGAAUGCCACCGAAUCAAGCCAAAACUCGCACUUGGAAUAAUUUAGCAUAUAGCUUCUUCUCCCUCAAAGUGUGGAGCACGAUCCUCAAGUGCUGCUCAUGAUCCUCCCGACUGUGAGAAUACACCAAUAUAUAAUCAAUGAACACGAUGACAAAAGAAUCAAGAUACGACUGGAACACACUGUUCAUCAAGUGCAUAAAGGCUUCUGGGGCAUUGGUCAGACCAAAAGACAUCACCAAAAACUCAUAGUGACCAUAGCGGGUCCUGAAUGAGGUCUUCGGAAUAUCUGAAGCCCUAAUCUUCAACUGAUGAUACCCUGAUCUCAAGUCAAUUUUCGAGAAUAUCGUAGCACCUUGAAGCUGAUCAAAUAAAUCAUUAAUACGCGGUAGUGGGUAUUUGUUCUUGAAUGUAACCUUGUUUAACUGCCUGUAGUCACUACAUAUCCUCAUCGAACCGUCUUUAUUCUUCAUAAGUAGAACUGGAGCACUCCUAAAGUUGUUCCUUUAAUUCCUUCAACUCCAAUAGUGCCAUACGAUAUGGUAGAAUAAAGAUGGAUUGAGUGCCCGACACCAGGUCAAUACCGAAAUUAAUAUCCCUAUCAGGUGGCAUGCUAGGUAGGUCUGCUGGGAAAAUAUCUGAAAACACUCUCACUUUUGGAACUGACUCAACGGUAGGAGUAUCAGCACUAACAUCCCUCACAAAGGCUAAGUAUGCCAAACACCCCUUCUCAACCAUCCAUCGUGCCUUCAGAAAAGAAACCACCCUACUAGGAACAUGAUCCAAUAUACCUCUCUACUCCAACUGCGGCAAACCUGGCAUAGCCAAUGUCAUAGUUUUAGCAUGACAAUCCAGGAUAGUGUGAUAUGGUGACAACUAGUUCAUGCCCAAAAGCACACCAAAGUGUACCAUAUCGAGUAACAUAAGGUCCACCCUAGUCUCAUAACCCCCGAUAGUGACCACACACAAUGGUAGACAAGAUCUACCACAAUAGAAUAUCCCAUAGGUGUAGAAACAUAAACAUGAGUACCUCAAGAAUCACGAGACACAUCCAAAUAUGAAGCACAAUAAAAUGAAACAUAUGAAUAAGUAGAAGCCGGAUCAGAUAAAAUUGAUGCAUCUCUGUGAUAGACUGGAAUAAUACCUAUAAUGACAGAAUCUGUCCUUUCAGGAAAAGAAUAACAAUGGGCCUGGCCUCCCCAUUUGGGAUGACCUCUACCGUCUGUCCUCAACCUCUAGCUGGCUAUACAGGUGGAGUAGCAACUGGAGCAGCAACCAUGACCUGAGUUUCCUGUGGAGGUCCACCACUCCUAAGUCUGGGACAAUCCCUCAAAAUAUGCCGAUAUCUCCACACUCAAAACAACCUGUAUGAGGGCGUGGCUACUGGUACUGAGUCUGACCCAGUCAGCUAGAGUAGCCACUGUAGGAAUCUCGUGCAGAAGGUGCACUGAAAGAUUGUUUUCCCGUAUGAGUAUCCUGAGGUCCCUGACUAGCUGGAGAACUACAAGUAACUUGAAGUGCAGAUUGGACUAGUCGACAGAUCUCGCCUCCAAAGUGGGAGCCCCUAAAUCCUCCAUAACUACGAGGCCUCUAAGCCUCCCUAUCCUCCCUCUCCUGACCACGAAUACGCUCUAACCUCCUAGCAAUCUCCAUAACCUGCUGGAAUGGAGUAUCAGUCUCUAGCUCCCGUGCCAUACCAAAUCUGAGACUAUAGCUGAGCCCGUCGAUAAAUAUGCAAAAUCUCUCUCUCUGACUGUAGAAACCAAAAUAGGUGCACGAUGAGAUAGCUCACUAAACCUCAUAGCAUACUCGGACACGGUCAUAGUCCCCUACUGCAACUGCUCAAACUCAAUGUGCCACGCAUCCCUAAGGGUCUGUGGAACGAACUCCCUCAAAAAUAGAUCAAAGAACUGAGCCCAAGUAAGUGGCUAUGUGUUAACUGGCCUACUCUUCUCAUAAGCCUACAACCAUCUAUAUGCUGACCCCUUCGGUUGGAAAGUAGUAAGAUCAACCUCGCUCAACUCAACAAUGCCUAUAGUGCGCAGAAUACAGUGACACUGGUCCAUAAAACCUUGUGCAUCCUCAGAAGUUGUGGCACUAAAAGUAUUGGAGGGACAUACUUCUUGAACUUCUCUUUCUCUGCUCCGCCUCUGAUGCCACUGGCCUGACCUCAAGCAAAACUAUGAUCACGGUGUUGAUACCCAAUUUUGUCCUACUUUUCUUCUGAAUACUUUUCUAGUGCUCCCUAGUCAUUAAUAAUCUAUUGUUCUAUUUUGUAAUUAUUUAUUACCUUUAUCACUACUAUUAUAAUAGUUAUAAUUAUUGAAGUGAUUACUACUAUUAUAGUCAAUGUCGUUGUUGUUGUUACUAUUAUUAUUAUUAUUAUUAUUAUUAUUAUUAUUAUUAUUAUUAUUAUUAUUAUUAUUACUACUACCACCACUACUACCAUCACCACUACUAUUGCUAUUAAAUAAUAAAAUUAUUAGUAUUAUCAUCAUUAAUUACAAAAUAUUAUUAUUACUAGUGCUAUUGUUAUUAUAUAGUGUGAUUUAAAGAUUAAGAGCCCGUUUGGAUGGGCUUAUUUUAAGUAACUUUUAAGCCAAAAUUAUUUUUAAGUCAUAAGUUAGGAUUUUUAGCUUUUUGGCUUUUGGCUUGUUUUUGUCAUUUUAACUUAAAAACAAGUACUUAAAAGCAUUUUUUUACUUUAUCCAAACACUACAAAAUAACUUAAAAGCUAUUUUGGCUUAAAAACACUUAAAAUAAGCCAAUUCAAACGGGCUCUAAGUAUUUGCACCAACUUAGAAGCUUAGAAGAAGUACAAGAAGAAAUGAGUCCAAAUAGCCCAACAAUUUCGGCCUCUUUGGAGUAGCCAUUUUUGACUUUCAACAGCCCAAAAGUCUUGCAUUUCAGCCACCUCAAAUUAGCCCAUCAGAUACAGCCCAAUUAUUUUUAGCCCAAGAUUAUCUUAAUACAUCAGCUAGGUAUUCUUGUCUUCUUUCCCCAAAAAAACGCUGCUCCUAACCCCUUUCCUCUUUCAAGCAAAGCUUCAGUAUCCUUAACUAUGGCAGGAGCUUGCCUCGUCGAUUUUGAGUAAGUUCUUUGUCUCUCUUCAGAACCCGUGACUCCUCUCUCUCUCUCUCUUUCACGUUUGCAAAGAGAUUUAGUCAACACAAGAGGCCAAAAGACUUUUGGCAUUUUGAUUUUCUGAGAUGGAAAGACUGAUUUUCAGAGAUUUGAUUCGAUCUCAUACGUCUUUCUCAGACCAAAUCACGUGAAGCCCUGCCACAACUCUAACGUUCGGAUUUGAACACUUCUUUGAAAUCCCAAUUUAAAAUCUGCCCGCCUAUAGAAACCUAGCCAUUUUUCUUGGCCUAUAAAUACAUUUCUAACUCUCUAUCUGAUGGGAUGGUGGAACACCCUCCAACGGCCUACUCUAAUACUCCUACUCUUUUUCAUGCUUCAACUCUGUGAAAAACCCAAAUAGAUAUCGCAAGCUUUACAUUUCUGUCUCUGUUGACUUUAGCAGAGAUAGAAGCUUUUCAAACUCAUUCGUUUUAAGGUUCGGAUUUGUUCGUAAUUAGAGAGUAGAUACGAGGCUCGACGACGCCCCGUUCACUGCCCCACAACAGGUAAAAUCCGACCAUGCUGUGAUUUUUCUCUUUCAUUUAAAACAGUAUGUUUUCCUAGAAAAUCAUGUAUUAAAACCUUUUAUGUUCAGACCUGUCUCUUCAAAAUUUCAUGAUUGAAUCGCGAUACUAGUUGUUGUUUUGUACUUUCAGAGCCUCUGCUGAUAAUACUUUAAUAGAAGCCAUGCCUUAAGGAUUAAAAUUUAGUUGUUGUUCAGGUAGUAAAAAUCAUGACAUUAGGACCUAUAUGGACUUUACAUGAAAGGACUCUUGUUUAGUGUGCAAUACUUUCGUCAGCAUAUAUAUAUAUAUAUAUAUAAUAUACACACACAUUGCUAUUUGAAUGGGUAAGAAUCAUAAUAUUAGAGCUAAUUAAUAUGUCCAGAAAUCAUGUCGUAUGAUUACUAAUUAGCGAAAUCAUGCUUUAGGAGAAUAUGUAUCCUCUUAUCGCAUCACUUUGCUCUACUUUCUGCUUAGGUGAUAAAAAUACGACUUUUAUGCUUAUUCCAAAGAUGUCAUGCCCAUGGGACUUUUAAAAUGUUUAUUUCAAAUAGACUUUAGCUAUCUGAGAUUACAUGUUAUCUCGUGAACAUCAUGCCUUCAUGCUUUUCUUUAAGAUUUGCAACUAAAUGUUAGCAUCUCUGUUAAUCUAAUGGUAACCUUUAAAAGGGUGUAAAAUAUGCUCGUCUGUUCAUGUAUGUUUGGUUCAACGACAGAGAAUUAUUUCAGGGCCUUACUUAAAACAAGGAACUUAAUCAUUUAUUUCUAACUUGGAACAUUACAUGAGAAUAUGUUUCUACUAAUAUGAGUUGGUCGUGUCUAAAUGCAAGAAAAGCUACUCAAUUUCAAGUCUAUAAAUUUUGCUCUUUUCCUACUUUGUUUAUUUAGCUUGUUAGAACAGUAGAUGCUUCUCUCUAAUUCAUUUACUUUCUCUGCCUUGCAUGAACACCGGAGCCGAAGAGUUUUAUGACGAAAUUCAACGAUGCUGCCACUGCAUAGAGACUGCACAUCCUCAUCUUUUCCAGUUCUUACAUCAUAUGCCCAUAAAUUAGAAGAGAAAAUCUUCUGGGAGCUGAACACGGCUCUUGAACCUUCCUUUCUGCUUCGUUUAUUUGCUUAUUCGUUGUGUGAUUAACUAGUUUUAUCCUUUAGCUGUGUGAUUGACUGUUAAGAUUUUAAUUUACUAUAUUAUCAUAGUCAAGUCUUAUUUAAUGGUGCAGUUUUUAUGAUGAAAGUACUCAUUUGUCACAUAGCACUUGCACCUAAUUUAAACUCUUUUAGAAUUACGACAUGCGUCAAAUACUAGGUGUUAAGUCUGUUAAGGUAUUAUAAAAUCAACUAUGGCUUUUUAAACUUCUUCCCUCCGCUCUACCGACUUUGUAAAAUUGAUAACUCUGCUUUAUAUGUUUUUCUUAAGAACUGAAACUAGUAGUAUUCCUAGCACAUAGAAGCUGUCAUCUUUGUUUUCUUUUCCUGUUUCAUAUAUUCAAGAUAGCAUUGUUUUCUUUACUUUCUCUAAAAACCAUUUUGAACUAAUAGUUACUUGUCUGAUUUUUCUUUUAAAAGUUUGGAGUUAACAGGUUAAGAUAGAUUGACUUUGGGACAGUGUUUGAACGAGAGCUCAUACUAGUUUAAGAAAUCCUUUUCUCAAAUCUUGAUUAAGAGUUAAAGUAACUACUGUUUGAGUCCAAACUUAAGGUUACCAUAUUUAUUUUAUAAACACUGUCAGUUAUUUAUCCUUUUUAUUUUUAGAAACUAAUAUAUUCUUUUUUACAUUACAAUAAGGCCUUAAUUAACGUUAGUCCGGUUGGUUAACCAUUUUAAUAUGGAUCUUAAAGGGUGCCUUAAAAACCUUCCCUUUAGAUUAAUUGAACCCUUACCUAGAAUCUUUAGGUUAAGUAGACCAAUAACAGAGUUAUACUUUAAAUAUUACUACGA
rnacentral:lncRNA from 1 species